AGAGAGAGAGAGAGAGAGAGAGUGGAGGGUGGGGGGGACUAGUGGGGGGUUAAGGUGGUUAAAAUAUGCGGGAAUAUUUAAACUGCGACGGGGAAUCACGCACACAUGAAGACAGAGCUGCCUCUGUUACUUCCCCAAAAAACUAACCUCGACUGCUUCUCUCUGGCUCACUCUGGUUUCAUAUUAGAGUCUCGGCCCCUUUUAUAUUUGGUUUUGGUCAGAGAAAAUACAAAAAGACACGUGUCAGGUGGAGGAGGAAUACAAAUUAGAUACGUUAUUGUAGGCUUUUAUGGUAAGGAAAAUCCUACCUAAGAAUUUCUUGUUCGGCUUUCCAGACCUGUCAUAACUCAUGUCAUAACUCAGGUCCGUAUGCAUAUCGUAAAAGGCGGAGUUAGAAUGUAUGUUCAGAGGGGCAUAUAAAGAAUCAGUAUGGAACUUCUUCAUUGAAAGUUGAUAAAUAAACUAGAUGGUAAAGCUAAUUGAAGAAACCAUGGGUGUCGUGGCACAUUUUAGUCUGGUUGUAGCUCCACCUAUGCAUGUUGUAGCCAAUAUUGAAAAUUAGUCAUAAACUUGCUUUCGUGUCAAUUUUGUUUUUGGUGUAGAGACGGCGAUGAACCGAGUUGUUCUAAUUGUCUAAUCCAGGUAAACUGAUUACUUUAGAUUCCGAGUUUGAAUGAACUUAUCUUGAUAAAACAAAAAAUGAUUGUGGUAUGUUAAUGACUUAAUAAUGUGUCCACGCCACUAUAGUUCUUGCAUAUAUUUCUGUCUCAACUAUAUGCUGGGAUGCUUAUCCAAUUAACAAAGCACAAAUUUGACGAAAAGUGUUAUGCUAGCAAAGUAGCAAUUGAGAGUGUGAAAAUGGCCUUUUUACUUCGUAGUUACUUAUAUUUCCACGAUAUAUAUUCGAUUAUCAUUGAGUUUGUGAAUAUUAUCAUUAACCAACGCAACUUAAUUAACUAGGCAGUCAGGCGCCAGAUGAAAAACCUCAACAAAGAAAAAGAAAAAAAUAGUGGUAGCAGGAGCUGCAGGACAUGAUCAUAAAAGGCUCUCAUUACUAGAAGGCAGAGAGUAGCUGAAAAUUAUAUUAAUGGUUUUGGAAAGGUAGACCAGGAGGACUGAGCGAGCCUGAACUUCAAACACCUUCUCAGAGUUCAGGUCGAUAAUAUUUAUAGGAGUAGCAGUGAAUCAGUGAUGACCAAAUUAUUAAAGGAUCCAAGCAAGCAAGUAAGCUCUUCGUUGCCAGCGAUCGAGUUGGCGUGUGACAUCAAGUUUGGAACGUAAUAGGCAUGGUUGCUUCGUUCCCUGCUGCAGUCUGUAUAUUGUAAUGGGGCGAGAGAGAUUGCCAUGCCAUAUAUGAGCCAAUAAUGCAGAUAGAUAUACAUGUUUCUUUAUUGGUACGUACGUAGCAACUGCUGUGUGCAUCUGAUUCAAGAAAGAGUCGAAAGUGCAUUAUUGCAUAUAUAUGAUUCUUUCCUGCUGCCCAUAUCUCCAUAGCCGAGAGGAACAAGUAGCCAGUAUAUAUAUGCGUGCAUGUCAUAUAUAUUUUACCACACAACUUUACGUAGAGAUUAUUUUCAAUUUACUGUUCUCAGAGUAAUGGUAACAGAGUUCUGCUGAUCAAGAAAGGUAUAGCUCCACACCAUAUCCAACUUCUUUCGUCGGCAUUUUGACCACGCUCGAGCUACUCAUGAAUGAUUGUUUUGAAUUCAACCUAAACUUAAGUUUUGCUGAAUGCUGAUCAUUAUUGAUAUUGUUUUGACUAGAAAAGAUUAACAGAGAAAAGAAAAUUAGGAAGACGGCUGAUGAUGAAAAAGUUAAACAGUGUGGUAGAAAACCUGAUGAUAAUCUGAAUGAAAAAGCAUCAAUUCAUGAGUGAUCUUACUUUCACCCAUCAACUUGAUUCUCUUUAGUUCAAAGGGUCGAUCAUUAAUUCCUGAUGCUGAAUUGAAAAUGACAAAAUGUGAUUCAUAUUGAUGAAGCAUGAGCCAGCUGAUGAGCAUGACUACAUUUCCAUCAUUCAAUUUGUCAUUCAAGAAUUACUACUCUCGCGCAAUCUCAAAACUUUUGAACGACACAGCAAUUGUUUACAGCCAAAUGAACAUAUAUUCCAGUGUUGCAACCUCCUCAAUGUUUGUUUUUGCGUAAAAUUCUUUAUUUUAUUUUUUUUCCAGAGCGAGGGAAAGAUUCAUGAAAGGUGUUGAAGCGAAAAGUUAAGAAAUGUAAAUAUGUUCGUUAAUUCGUGUUACUGUCUCAAAGUGAUUGAGAUAAAAAAGAAUCAACUACAUAUGAGAUAUGGUUUCUUAGGAUCCCAUGCCAUCCAAUUAGUCUUUUGUUCAUUCCGGUCUUCAGUAUCCGGCCAGCUGCUGCCAACAAGCAGCAUCCCGUACAUAUUGGUGAUAAGGUGAUAUGAUAGACACUCGAUCAUAGCUAGUCACUUAGCCGAUAGUGCGCGCAGUCUCCAUCUGCAUAUCCAGUAAAAUCAAUUUUGAAAUAUCCCCAAAGACAGAUAGAAUAAAAAGUGAUCAGUAGUAUCACUUGAAUGAUCAUUUGCUGGGCCAAAGGGUCUCAUUUUGGUGAUGAUUAUCAGUCCCCAGUGCAUGGCAUAUCGAUCAGUACUACUGUCCUUUGGGUGUGGUGAUGAAGAUGUGAUAUCUGUUCAAAUGAUUCGGUGCGUGGACUCUUAGCAUAGGAAAGUAGUCAGUCGGCCUCUUUUUCUUUUUUCUGAUGUCAAAAGUCGACCUCUUUUUCUUAUGCUCUGUCCAGCUGACUAGCAUGCAUAUAUUCAUCAGAUGAAAAUAGAGGCGUUUGCAAACACUUGAUCCCAUUCAUGAAUCAUGUUUUUCCCAAGAGGGGUUUUAGACUAAGAUGCUAGCUAGCUCGAUCAUUAAGUGAGUCCAUUAUCAGUCUACAAUCUAGUAACUAAUUAAAUAUAGAACCAUCUAAUCUUCAGAGGGUACGUUAUCAUCAUCAUCAUCAUCAACUCCGGAAUCAUUGCGAUGAUUUUUGACCAAACUGAAAGAGGUAUAUAGAAAACCCUUUGUGCAUGCUUCUUGAAUUUACUAGUACGCGAUCAUUCCACAACCUCUGCGCUUUGAGGCCGGAAGGCACGGUUGGACAUAUCAGUUGAGCUAAUUAGGAGAGGAACAAGCUCGAUCGAGUUGGGGGUUUACGGAGUUUCGCUUCCUGCCUUCACCUUGCACAGCGAUGUCGAGUUCGGACUGAAUGCUGCUCUGAAUUGGCCGGAGAGACAAUGAAAGGCACACAUCAAUGAUUUGGGAUGUAAUAAUGUUCCUUUUUCAUAUAUUAUGUCUCAGAGUAUAGAAGAGGUAGCUAGUGUUAAUAUUAGAAUGCCUACAUGGCUACAGGCAUUAUCAGAGGUGAAAAAGGCUUGCCGGCCAGAUGUGUUGCAGAUGAAAUGGUGAGCUGGGCCUAUUGUGGGCCGGGUUUAGCAAACUCAGAGGUCGUACUUUAGAAAUUCAGUCCAGCCCUUUAGUGCUUUUUUGUCUUUUCGAUUACAGGCCCUAUACUGCUUUGAUCCCAAUGUGAAAAUGUGCUUUGGUUUUCUAAAGCGUGGAUUUCUUUGUUUAGAUGUAAACAUGGAUCGUGUCCUUGAAUAUUUGGAGAGAAGCAGUCAACGUCUUCUUUGGCUUUAAUGGGUACGGAGUCGUUCGGAUGAGUACCACUAAGUUGAGAAUUAGUUGAGGAUCUUUUCAUUUCACCCUCUUUUCGAUCGCGUAAUCACAUCUCGAUCGUCUUAACUUAUAGAUAUAUAUGAAUAGAUCGUCUCUAUAAAUUUUAUCCAAAUUGAAAAUCGUUAAGAUUCAUAAAUGUGAUCUACCGAUUAUAAAUUUGAACGGUUCAUGUUUGACAGAUUUUGAUCAUUCAUUAAUUUGAUUUAGUUCGAUUCAUUAACGAUCACCAAUUUGGCUGCAAAAUUUGUAUAAGUGAUCUUCUUAUAUAGACCUAAAAACUGUACAAUUGAGAUGAAAAAAUAUAAUUAAAAAGUGAGUGUAAUAAACUAUUAAUGAGAAAGUCCUCAACCAAAUGGUCCUCAUUAGAACCCUUCCUUUAUUGAGUAUAUUCAAAUAUAUAAAGUUCAAAAUAUUAUUACGUAGAAAUUCUUGUAUUUAUAUGAGUGUGUUAAGUACACAAGGCAAUUAGUGAUCCAUAUAUUAUGGCCAUUAUGUAUCUGUGUUACUACGUCACUUGUUAUUUAUCAUGUUAGUAAUUACGAUUGACUUUCUCUUCCUGAUCUGAAUGGGUGGAUUUUUGUUAAUUUCGAUUACAAUUUUAAUGAAUAAUAUUAUAGCAUAUACGGCGUGCACCAAAUACGAAUUUAGUAUUGGAACGAAGUUGGAUCCUCGGAAGAUCUUCAAAUACGAUCACCCCCAUUGGUCAUAGUUUUUCAAUCUUGGAUGUAGUCUCAUUUUCUUACCACCAGAAGGAAAAGAAGAGGCACAUCCCACACGGCCGUCCGCAUGCGGCGAAUCACAAAACCGACCACUAAUAAAUUAGUGACGGUAACUUCGAAAAACCAAAACAAAGAGAAAGAAAAUAAAACCAAACAAACCAGAGAGAAGAAGGCAGCAGUUAUAAAGCAAAGACUGACUCUUUCUGUUUGCACAGGAGCACGGAUAUCUCUCCUCUUACGCAAACACCAACUACCUCCCCCAACUUCCCUUGUCUUCCACAUAACCCAUAACUCAAACUCAAUCAAUCUCCAAAACCCAAAUAUACAUCUCCAAAAGUUGUAACCUUACAUGUCAGAGAGGGUUCUCCGGCGACGAUCUCAGGCGACGGGCGGUAGUGGCAGCCGGAGGACCCGCCUCUCGAACCCUUCACCAUCGCCGCACCGGAAGACCCCACAAACUAAGCGAUCGCCCAAGCCACGUUCCAAGCCUGUAAAGAUUCUUAAGCGAUGCUCGUCCGAGCCUCUGCUCCGGAGUCCCGUCAGCGAUUUCGGCGACGAGGUGGUGCCGCAUGUUGGCCGGGAGUUGAGGUCGGAGCCGGAUGGAGUUCUUUUCCGGCCACAAACUUGUGUUGACGUGUUUGCUUCGUCUCCGACGUUGAUGAUACCUUUCUCUCCCAAUAAUCAUGAGGUGCGAUCAAUGUUUGUAAAUUUUCGAUCUUUCGAUCUUUGGUUGACUGUUUGGUGGAUCAAACUAGUUAGCUGCAGUGUGUGUUUUUGUAUUUUUUUAGAUCAAGUUAGUUUUGUAGUUUAUUUCAUCUAUUUGCAGUGUUUGUCUAUUAACAUUCUGUUUUGUCUGUUUUUGUUUUGGCUUCUUCUAGUCGUAUUAUUCAGAAUCUAACUCUGAAUCAAAGAGAUUACUUAUGAAUAAAAGUUUUGAGUUCUAGGAUAAGCGAAUUAUCCAAAAUGUGUGAAAUGUUUACAAUGACAAGAAUGCAAAGAAAUAUAUCCUUAGAAUUUGAGGUUUAUAAUCCACUGUCUGCAGUUAGUGCACAGCCAAUGCAGCAUUUAUUCUUUUGAUGAUUUUCAUUUACUGUGGAGUAUUGUGAGAUUGAUAUUCAAUUAAUGCUUAACCAAUUCAGUGCUUAUUCAAUGCAUGACUAGAUUCUGAUAGAGAUAUAUAUGGGUUAAGGAGCUGAGAUAAUUUGGUAAGUGUUUGAAAUGCAGGCAUACAAGAAAGAUGCAAAGGUGGUAUUGAAUGUUUCCGUUGAAGGAAGUCCAGGACCGGUGAGGGCCAUGGUGAAGUUGGGAUCUACGGUGGAAGAGACGAUCAAGCUUGUUGUAGACAAAUAUAGCAAAGAAGGGAGGACUCCCAAGCUUCUUAAGGAUGAGGCAUCGUCCUUUGAGUUACACCACUCCUACUUCAGCCUUCAAAGUAAGUCAAAAUUACAUAGUUUUUCAAGUUCUAUUAAUUUCCAGUUCUAGGAGUUCUUCUGCCAGAUUGUAGACUGUAGGCUCUCUUCAUAUUUUGAGAAGUAUAUAACAUUUGUAGAGAAUUUCAAAUGGUGAACGAUUUAUUAGGGACUGUGUGGAUAAAACACUGUUGAUCAAGUAAGUGGAAAUGUAACAUUGGAUAUGUUAGAAGGGAUAUUUCCUAAGUUGCACCAAGAUAUAUGAGAUAAACCAAAUCAGAAUUACUGUAAAGAACGGCAACUUAUCCAGUUGGUCCUGACAAGCUUAUCCAGUUCUAAGAAGUUGUGAGCUUUGUAACUACUGAAAGACGGAGAAUUAGAAGUCGUGCAUGGAGCAGUACUUGAUUUUCUUGGUUUCCAACUAGGAUUAGAUCUUUAUUGAGAACUCUUUUUACUGAACAGGUUUGGAUAAAUCAGACUUGAUUGGGGAUGUUGGUAGCAGAAGCUUCUAUCUUCGAAAGAGCAGCAGCAAGAAUGGAGGAUCUACUGCUUCUUUGGAAGUCAUUCCCGUGAGAGCAAACUCUCCUCCACCUGCUCCGCGUCCAGGAUUGUUACUUCCAAAUUUUAUUGCUCGUAAACUCGCUAAACUUGUUAGAAGAACUCAUAGACUUUGGAAGGUCAUAGUCUGUAUGCGAUGAGGAAAAUUAUGUAGAAAAGACCAUUGCUACAGACUUUAGAGUAACACAAAAUAUUAUUCCUGUUACUCUUCAAUGAGCCUCUUAAAUGCGGAUGUCGGACCUCGUCUGUGACAUGUAUUAUCAACUUUCUCUUCUACCUUCUGAAUUGUAUGCAAAUGCUGUAAAUAUGUCCUUAUUGGAAGAUCAUUUAUAUCAUAGCUGAAAAACACAAUUGUUCACAUGUUUUUCCCCACUGAAAUACAAGCAACAAAUGCUAUUUGUGUGGCUUGAUCCAAGAGGGUAUUAUGCCUACAAGACUCAAAUAUUUAUUAUUGGAAUGGUUCUUAUAAUGUGAUCUUCUAAAUAAUCCUAUGUCUUCAGAGGCUAGGAACUAGAGCUGCUGGGGAUCAGGGUAUGGUAACCGACCUGUGGAUGACUCUUUUUUUGGCUAUCGCUGUACAUAGGAGAAGGGAACUGGCUCAGUUAUAAACCGUUAUAAAAGGGCAUACAGAAAGGUCAUGGAGUUUGGGAACUUGUUUAUGUGGUAAACUCUUUGAGUUAUAUCUGUUAUACAUCAAUAUUACCCUAGCAUAUGGCUCUACUGUUAUCCAAAUCCCCUGCUAAUUGCCAUGUUGAAUAGAGCUCAACCUUCAUAUCUGAUAUGAUCGCUUCAUAGCAUCAGAUCAGUGUAACAAUACUGAGAGGAAAGGAGUAUAAAAUUUCUUGCUGAACAAUUUAUUUUUUGGCCACACUCUUCCAGGAUGUACUUCUGAUUGGGCUGGGUUUUGGACUUUUGGUUGUCCUUGAUGGACUUCUUUCCUUUAAUGACCGGUGGACUGUUUUGCUUGUAUCUUUCUUCUGUAAUAAUCCUCAGACUCAGGGGCUUUCAGACAACCCUGAGCUUCUACGAAGCUUCUUCUUCAAUAGUACGCAAAUGAACCUUGGACGUACGUAACGUCUCUAACUCUCUGAAAACCCCCACACACUACUCCUGAAGAUUCACACAAACUCAUCUCAAAAAAGUACCAAACCUAAUACAAACAUCUCCACAACCACUUGGCAUACAUUGCAUGCAUCAUUCUUACUAGCCACCUAAAUGAUCCAUCCCCGGUCACAGUUUUACGGGCUAAACAUGUGUCCUCUGGCCGUUCCCGAGAGGACACUCCAGACCUUCCCGCCGGAGAGGCACACCAACCUUGUACGCCGACCGGGAGGCCUCAUCUCCCUCCCUGAGGGAUGGAAGGCUCCGGAGACCCGCCCGGGAAACUCACAGUACCGUUUGACGAAGCUGCUUCUGAAUGUGACGAUAGAGAGAAGCCUCGGGCCUGUGCACGUUGUGAUGUCGUCGGAGAAUACGGUCAGUGAUUUGAUCAAGUCCGUGGUAGAUAUUUACGUGAAGGAGAAGAGGAGGCCUUUGGUGAAGGAGACUGAUCCGCACCGUUUCAAGCUUCACUACUCACAGUUCAGUCUUGAGAGUAAGAAAUCGAUCAUGACAUUAAAAAUUAAGAUUAUGCUUCACAGUUCAAACUUUCUUUAAAUGUAUGCCCUUUUGUAGUGACAAUUUUAAAUGAAAGAUUUGGGUUACUAUAUAUACAGGUAUAAAGGCAGAUGAGAAGUUGAUACAGUUGGGAUCUAGAAAUUUUUUCUUGUGCUCAAAGUCGUCAGAUUCAGCUACCGUUUUAUCCAGCUCUGUCAGCAAUUGCUCAAAGGAAGCAGAGAAGGACAUCAAUUCCCCAUUUCCAUUGAUAAAAUUUAUGGAUUUCUUGCUGUAAUUUCUCUUUUGUUAUGAUCAUAUAUUUCAUGUAUCAUGCAUGAGUACUUGAGUAGUAUGCCUGUUUCUACAAAGAACUGUAUGAUCUCUAUAUAUAUGUAUAUGCAUGUUGUCGAUCAAUAUGUUUGUGCAAAUUAACAUUGCUGAUCGAGUAUGACUAACCCAAGACAAACUCAAUCAUAAGGAGUGCUUGAGGAGCCUCUUCAACUCCAUCCUAGUUAGUUUAAUUAUUACAGAACUAACAAGGUUAUACGAACCAUGCUGCUUGGUACUAGACUACUAGCCAAACGUCUCCGGCUAGGUAACUAGGUUCAAACAAGCUCGAUCACAAUCUGAAAGUGGCUUUGCUUGCUUGGUUUGCAUGUAUUCGAAACAUUGCCAAGUUCGAACUUCAAUGGAAUUAGGAUACACGUACAGGUUGCAUAGCAUACAGUGCUGCGGGACAUAAGUUUCCUAUUUGAUUAGGGUGUUGUUGCUUCAGCAUUGGGCAAGGCUUGGAUGCCUUUGAGAUGGGCCUUUUGAGUUUGAUGGGACAAGUGGGAAGAGAUAAAAGAUCUCUGUCAUUGUUAAUAUAAAAGCAAAGAAAAUAAAAAAUAGGAGGUAGAGAAUUAACAAACUCAACCUCGGGGCACCGCGUUGGGCUUGACUCUGCCGUCUUCGAGUCUCCUCCGACCAUCCCAAAUCAAGAACACACACUUUUCUCCGAUCCUUUUCCUCCUGUUUCCGCAGCCGCGCGUGAAUUUUCCUCCACGCGCCUCUCACAUCCGUGCUGGAGCUGCCAUUGAGUUAGUAGAUAGCUUAAAGAAAACAGAAGAGCAUAUAUGGGGGAUCUUUUCGUUUGGCUCAUCUCCUUCUUCCUCCUUAUUACCCUUCUUGCUCUUGUUGUCUUCCAGGUGGGUCUGUCCCUAUAAGCUCCUUUUGUCAAUUUCAGUGUUUUCUGUUUUAUUCCGGAAACUAAAUCAGAAACCUUAAAUUACUUCACUUUAACUAGUUUCAGUUUAAAGGGUUCUCUGUACGUGCUCAAGUUUGUGUUUUUGGGGUUUCGUUGGAGCUCUUACAGAAUUGGCUUAUUGCUUUAUCUCAAUGAGCUUGCUUUUGUCUGCAAAAUCAUGUCAUUCUGUUCUUUAGGUUUUGAGUAUAUUGGAUGUGUGUUUGUGUUUUUGCGUUGGUAUUCUUGAAUAUAGAUUGAGAUUGUAUUCCAACAACAAUUUGGUUGAAGCCGAAACCAAGAACCAUCAAGAAAAGAAAAAAGACGUAAUUUAUUUAAUUUCAUAUCAUCCUUGUGUGAAACAUGAGACCUUGUUCGGAAUGAUUCAUAUUCUAAUUGGUGACGACAUACCUUGAGAAAUUGAUUUAAUGUUGAAAUUGCUAUUGGGAAUAUUAUGUUAGGACAUAUAUAUAUGACAGUGGCACUAGCUAUGGUUGAUUGUUUAUAUAGCAUCUGUCUAGUACCUUAUCAAAACUGAAUCUUCCACUGUUAAAAUUGUUGCAGCUGAUGUGCUUAGCAGAUCUAGAGUUUGAUUAUAUCAACCCUUAUGACUCUUCAGCACGGAUUAAUAGAGUGGUUUUGCCUGAGUACAUCAUAGAAGGAGUAUUAGGAGCCAUAUAUCUUGUAACAGGGCAUUGGAUCAUGGCACUUUUUACUGCUCCUUACCUCUAUUAUAAUGUGACACUGUAAGUCCUGUUGCCUUACACAUGAACUAAUGCUUUUCUAUUCGCAUUACUGUAAACUUGUAAGAAAAAGAGAAGAAAAGAUGGGGAAUACAGUAAGAAAGAGUCCCAAACCAAGCUAGUUUUUUUAUCAGCAUCAAGAAGAUGCAAAAAUUAGAGUAGACUUGAAAUUGUAGAAACGGGAAAGGAAAUGUUAAAAAGAAGUAAAUAAUACUUCGAAUCUACAGUGAAGUGGGGAGCAAGUGCAGGAUACACAUAAAGAGGCCUAUAAGUUUUUUAAUUUCUUUAAAUUUUUAUCUUGCUGCAACAACAUUGAUGUUGGAAUUGUCUUAUUUUGGUGCCGUUAGCACACAACAGACCAAAAUUUAAACCUGCACAUUUAUAGUUCAUGUACCAUCUGAAUUCUUUUUGGGGGCUGGGGGAUGGGGCCUAGGUCAGAUGAUGUACAAUAAUGUGUUGAGUUUAGAACACUGCUCCAAGUAUGCUAACACCAUCACUGGUUUGUUGAUGCAAAUGAAAAUGGUUUAUGUCACACGCAAGCUGGUUGAUAAGAUCUAACCCAAUCGGCAUGGAUGAUAACCUGAUAUCUCCAUGAUGUUUAGACUAGAUGAUGGUAUAGUAGUGUAUCAUGUCUUGGUGCUGCCUUCAGUCUCAUGACCUUAGAUUUUGAUCUUGAGUUUAUGAUCUUGCUAACUUUCUCCUUUUUCUGAGCAGGUAUAUGAGUAACAGGCACCUCGUAGAUGUUACUGAGAUAUUCAAUAUGCUUCACAAAGAGAAGAAGCAACGGCUCUUCAAACUCUUCUAUCUUGUUUUCCUUCUCUUUCUCUCGAUAUUCUGGUACUGUGCCUAAUAUAGUUACACAUCUUCCUUGAAAUAAUCUUUUUAGGUAUGCUAAAUACAGGUUACUCAUAUUCUUUUGCCCAACUUUGCAGGAUGAUUCUAACUGCAUUGGAAGACCACGAGUAAAACGGAUAAUUGCUGCAUCAACUGACUGUUUAGCAGAACUCUUCAGUUCGUUGCCCCUAAGUUGCUCUUUACAGCUUUUACUCCACCACGACUGAUGUAAUUUGUGCUACUUUCAUUGAUGUUGUAUGAUUAUUCGAUGGCAGUUUUCUUUGGUACGGCUCCACGAUAUUCUUUUCAACCCCUUGUAUCGUAGCUGUAGUGUAAGGACUCAUGAUCGUGUAUUCUUAGUAUUCUUAGGUUGUCAGGUUGAAGCAAUCUAAACUAGUCGAAUAAAUCUAUUAAUUCAGACAUCGUUCUGUUCAGUUUCAAUGUGUGGCUGAUGAAGUUAUGAAUAACUCUAUAAUAAUUUGUUGAGAUCACACAUUUGAAGCUGAUAUGCCUUAAUUUGUUGAGACUUGCAUUUUCAUUUUCACACGCUUAAGUUGAACAUAAAAACAAUUUGACUUAAAUCAAAGAUGGAUUUCUUUUGAUCUAUAAGUUUAAACAUAUAAAUUGUUAUGAAAUUGUGAGUUCUUGACCGAGUUAAAAAAAAAAAGUAUGACCAAGUUGUCAAUGCUUCAUCCUCUAUGAGUCUAUUAAAUGACCACAAAAAAUAGUGUGGUACUUCUGACCAAAGUAAAAAUGAAAUAAAGCUAUAUGAACAAAAGUGAAAUUUCUUUUUAAAGAUAAAAACUGAAAUUUACUCGAAGAUAAAAUAAAAAUAAAAAUAUGGGUUGAUGCCCGAAGAGCUUUCUUUCAUAACUCUUAGAAGCUCCGGAUCAGAGAGAGGUCAUCUUCAAAAUCCCAUCUUGUUCGUAUCUCUUUUUCUUAAAUUUAAGUAACUAUUUAUUCAAGAGCUGUUUGGGUUUGUAAUUAAGUUUUGAUUCUUGUACCAAAUGAAUGUGUUGAUCUGGGUUGGGAUUGGUUUCGUGUGCUCUAUAGAGAUCAGAGACUGGUAUUGAGUUUGUCUCGGAACUCUUGAAAGUUUGAUUCUUUAGUGUUUAAUUCAGGUCCUCUAGAGUGGUGUUGAACGUUUUGUUGAUGGGUUUUAGUUAUUCAUAGGAUGAAUACCAAUCACUGGUCGAAUGUGAAUAUGUCUGGAGAAGUGAGUGCAUUGCUCAUGAUUGUUGUAUCCGGAGAUUAGGGUCCUAUUUUUUGUUGCUUUGAUCAGUUCUUUGUUCUUGUGGUUUCUUAUAUGGUCAAGAUCUAGGAUGAUUAUAAUCAGGGUAUGUUGUUCCUCAUCCCUUGGUUUUUGUUUUGCAGUUGAAGAUUUUUAAGGUUUGCUGAUCCAUAAUGGUCAAUGCCACUAGAGGACUGUUUAUCUCUUGGUAAGAUGCUUGUACCGAUUUUGGGAUGUUUAUCUCUUGAUGCAUAAUGGUAAAUGCAACCAAACGUUUGAUUGAACUCAAAUAAAUGAUAAAGAUUAAGAAUAGAGCUAUUAUUAGGCCUUCAAGCAACUGUCUGGAUGCUGAAUCUUUUCUGUCCGGUAUGAUGGUUCUAAGGCAGAUUUGGCAUCUUUCAAGUAUCCAUGUUUAGGACUAGGAGACCUUUCCGUAUGUAACAUAGGGUUUCAGGAAGCCUAUAUAAGAGCCUUUCGAGUCUUGCCUUCUUGGUUAUCUGGGGUGAGAUCAUCAGACGGGUGCAUAAGCCCACCAAAGAAGAAAACUGUUUAUCUUGGUAAGAUAGUUGUACCAGUUUUGUGUCACCUGUAUCCCAAUAGUUUACAGAACCAAAAUAAGUUUUGAGAACAUUUGGCUUAUCUUGGUUCUGGUUGCUCCUGUUUCAUAUGAUGUGUGUGAUAAUGAGAGUAUGGAUGUUCUUGCCUAAAAUCUAUUGGGGCUGAUCGUUUAAUCUAUUAGUGUUUAGGAGUUGAAAGUGAUGGUUUAGUUUUUAACUUCUGGAAAUCACAUUCCGACAGUGUUUAGUUGCUGUUUAAUCGCUCUCUAUGCUACAAAAGCAAUUGAGAUUAGGUUGUUCAUUUAGUAGAAUUUUAGCUGGCCUCGUAUUUUUAUGUUAACAUACAAAUCAAGCUGUAAGUUCAUCAAAGAGUAGUUUGAGACUCGGAGUUGCCUCGUUUGCUUAGUCAAUCUCUUUUUUCUGUCUCUGAAAGCAUCUGUAUUUCUCUUGUGCAGUGACAUACCUAUGGCACAGUUCAUCAUCAACUACAACAAUUCACUGCCGCAAUCACAAAAGUUCAUUAUACACGUCUUGGAUGGGACUCACCUCUUUGUGCAACCCCAUGCAGCUGAGAUGAUAAAAAGUGCCAUUUCAGAAUUUAGAGACCAGAAUUCUUACGAGAAGCCUACUUAAAUAUCUUCUAUGGACCAGAUGUUUACAUUGUACCUUGAUUUCGAUCAUCCUUUUAUCUUGAAAUUAGUGAAUUUCAGCUCUACAUGAGUAAGCAUUUACCUCCGUGUGAACACACAAAAGAAGUUAAAGAACUGUGAGGUCUGCUUGCAUUAUCCACUUAUAUUGGAUUGAAUGUUCAUGAAGGGAACAUUGCUCUCAUUUUGGUCUUAAGAUAGCACAUUUGAUAACUCGCAAUCGAUGCCAAUGUACAAGAUAGUUCGGUUCACAUUUCUGAUCAUUCUUAUUUGCAAGUGCCUCAACCUGUGCUUUGCUGGAGGUGUUUCUUGCAGCUUCUGAAGUAUCAAAGUUGCGCUCAUACUUCAUAACUGAGUAUAAAAACCUAUAUUCAACUAGAUUUACAAGAAAAUUAAACUGAUUUUGUACUCUUUAUAUCCAAAUAAUCACAGCCUUACCUUAAAUUAAUCCAAGACAGUAAUCCAUGUGUUCAAGAAAACAACUUGCUCCGGUAAAGACCCAACUUGGAGUCUUGGACCUUCCUUAGCGGGUCGGGCCGGGCAUACUCAUGACCCGACUAUCUUGGCUUUUCUUUCUAAAACAGUUUAGAUUGGUUUCAGAAAACAAGCUGCAAGGUUUCUCUUAUUCUCUUCAGCUCUGUGCUCGCGAAAAUGGCAGUCUCUUUUGCCACGACGACGUACACUCCAAGCCUUCAGCCCCAAGCUAGACUCUCUCCCAGGUUCUCUUUCUCUCACUUGGGUUUCCUCUGUUUUUCAAUCCAAAAGUAAAAAGAACGUUCUUGAUUGUAAUCUGUAAUUGGUGUUCCACAGUUGCUCGAUAAAGCAUUUUUCUGGGUUAAAGCCUGAAUCUUUAGGUAUGUUGAGUCCUUGUUGUUAAACCCAUUAGCUAAUUUUGGCCUUCUUUUGUGGGAUGUAAUCGAUUUUUUGAAUUUUGUUUUGUAUCUGAUAAGGUACUUUUGGAGCUAAAAAUCCAAACUUGACGGUUGAGUUAUACAGCAAAGUUAGUAAGAGCCUUCUGCCCAGGUAAGGACUUAUGGUAGUGUAAUUUAUUUGUGUAAUCCUUGGUUGAGUAACAAGAUUAGGGUGCUUUCCACUUGGUUGUUAAUAGCAUUAAGGUGGAUUUAGAUGGUGUACUUUAGUGUAGGUAUUGGAAUCGUGCUUCUCAAACAAGAAGGUUUUUACUAGAUUUGUAUCCUGUGCCAGUGUUUAACAUGAGGUAGACUUGAGUUGUAUUAACAGCAUUUUAGUCAAAGAAAAAGACCUGUCUUCUUUUUCCGUUGAUAACUACUUAUUUGACUGAGGUUCGUGCAUGUUUCUGUUCUUGAAUAAGUAGACGCAUAUUGAGGGCUUUUUUGUUUACUCUUUAACAACUUCAUAUAAAGCUGAAAGUCAUUUUUUAGGAGCACAGCAUGCUUAUAAUGCUAGAUUAGUGUGCCCACUUUAUAUGUUAGGUUGAAAUAUGUCUUUAGAAGUUUCAUGAUUCAUCGUCAAUGGAGAAGCUUAUAGUGAUUCAUUCAAAUCCCUAACACUUUUUUUAGCAGAUUUUGAGAGUGUGAAACUGCUUGAUUUGCUUCUGUUAUCUCAAAAUAUAGAAAAUUAUAUGUGCAUUGUACAUUGUUUGAAUUGCUAAAUCAGACUGUUAAUGCAUGGAUGAUGCAGCUUUCAUGUAUGCACUUUUCAGGACAGGAAACCACAGAUCAUCACGUGCACAAGUUCGAAUGAUGCCAAUAGGGACACCAAAAGUUCCCUAUCGAACUCCUGGUGAGGGAGGUUGGCAAUGGGUUGACCUGUGGAAUGCUCUGGUAAGUCAUUACAGUAAAUUUCACAUCAAACAAACACGCAUUUAUUGAGCUAGGGAAACGGGGCCUUGCAGCUAACUGACCCUAAACCUUACCUGAACCAAAAUGUUCUUUAACCUGGCUGUAGUAUCCUUUCUCUUUCUUAACCCAUAGUAUUUGAAAGUCUGGUAGAGUUUUCCUUGAACAUGUCUUGCUAGUGGUAGUAAAAUAAGAUUAACUGACAUCCUAUGUCAAGAGUGGUGUUGCAUCGUUGUUGAAUCUUUUUCUCUUUUUAAAUUUCGUCCUAUACAAAAUAUAAAGUGCCGUGGGAUAGUUCAGCUCCCUUAGUAGUGGAAUGACAAUGAGAGUAACUGACGUCCUAUGUCAACAACUGUGUUAAUUUCAACUUCUUUAUCCGGUUAUUACUGGAAGCUCAUUUUAUUGUGCGUCUCUAAGAUGUCUCUAAUGUAAUGGAAAUGUAGUACCGGGAACGUGUUAUCUUCAUUGGGCAAAAUAUAGAUGAAGAGUUUAGCAAUCAAAUUCUGGCAACAAUGCUAUACCUCGACACUAUUGAUUCGUCCAAAAGGCUGUAUAUGUAUAUCAAUGGACCUGGUGGAGAUGUAAGCUUUCAAUUUUUCAUGAUGAACUUCCCUUACUUAUUUCUCGAUCUUGUGGUUCCAUGUGGUAUAUAUCUAAAACCUACACCAUUUACAGCUUACUCCGAGCAUGGCUAUUUAUGAUACUAUGCAAAGCAUACAGAGUCCUGUUGGCACUCACUGUGUGGGCUAUGCCUAUAAUUUGGCAGCCUUUCUUCUUGCAGCUGGUGAAAAGGUAAGUUUCUUUCCCUUUCUAAAUCCAGGUAACAAAAGCAUCAUGAACCUGGUGGGACAUAUCAGUUUUUUAGUUUGCUACUUUGCUUCCUUUUUUCUUUUUUUUUUUUUUUUGCCUCAGAAGUACGGAAGUUAAUACCAUUAAGGGUUCUAUGAAAAUUGACCAUCUAAGUCGCUGGAAACGUGAUGAUAAUCCACCAUGGUAUUCUGAACCAUUAAGGUUUUAUGGGAAAUUGACUCCAUUUCAUUAUAUCUGAGCUCUUCCUUCACAUGGCCUUGUGUGCAUUAAUGAUUUGAUGGAAUAUCAUCAUAUUUUUCCAGUAACUUAUAAAAAUAUAUUAUAAACACUACUUUGAACUUAGAUGGUUGAACUCUAAAAUUCCACCUUUUUGUUAUUUUCUGCUUAGGGUAAUCGAUUUGCAAUGCCACUAUCAAGAAUUGCACUGCAGUCUCCUGCUGGGGCCGCUCGUGGUCAGGUAUAACCUCGUACUUUAGAAAGUUGUGAUUCCUAGCUUUCUUCUUUGCAGAUUCUUAGUCCUUUCUUAAAUUUUUCAAAAAUUUGUGGCAGGCUGAUGACAUACGCAAUGAAGCAAAUGAGCUUCUCAGAAUCAGAGACUACCUUUUUAAUGAGUUGGCAGAGAAAACCGGCCAACCAAUUGAAAAGGUUAGCUAGUUUGACAAGUAAAACUUAGAAUUGCGUCUGGUUAGGUGGUUUGAUGACCUCAUUAAGCAUGGUAACUUGCUUGCUUCAGUAAGUGCUGCACCUAUUGCAACAUUGAAGCAUUAUAUUAUUUUCUUAUUUUGGAGUUCGGUUGCCAACUUUUUGUUUUUGGAAUUAAUCAUUCACUUACUUUAAAGUUUUAAACAUUACAUAAGCAAAGUUGCCUAUGUGACUCCUAGGUUGAAAAUGGUUUAUGCCUAUUUGAAUGUCUGUGGUCCUUUAUAACUCGAUUGCAAUUUUGUUUAUCUAAAAUAUUUGUCAUGAUAGGAUGAAUGCUCAUUCUGAAAUGUGUGUGUGCAGAUUAACAAAGACCUAAGUCGGAUGAAGCGGUUUAAUGCACAGGAGGCUCUUGAGUAUGGGCUCAUUGAUCGUGUAGUAAGGCCGCCUCGUAUUAAGGCCGACUCACCUAGCAGAGAAGCGGGAACAGGUCUUGGUUAGUACAUAUCUUGGCUUCUCAGUGGCUGAAUUGGCUAACAGCAGCUAUAGUAUUCAAAAUGUUUCUGCAGUUCCGUUUUUCUGUUGUAGUAUCUUCUAUAUAGUCAGAAUUGCUGCAUAGAAACUUUUCAUUCUCUUUAGAAAGCUUUUGGAUGGAACUAUUUUCUGAAAACAAGAUGCUGUAUCAUUUAUGCACCCUCCCAGAGAACAUAAUCUAAAUGGAUAUUUUAUUCUCAUCCACAUGGAAGUGAUGGAACACAGUCCGGUGGUUUUCUAAGUGUUUCAUCUUCUGUGGUAGGGAAAGAAAAUUGAAUAGUGAUAUUAAUCACAGCUUUCAGAACUAAGUCUUCCGGCUAUUGUUAUGCUUCCGGCUAUUGUUAUGUGCCAUAUUACUUUUCCAGUUGACUAUCUAAUGAAGGGCUGUGGACCUGUCACUGUAUAUUAUUUGAGAUUAGCAAACAAGAUCACAGUAUAUCAAUAUCAAUAGCAAUCUUCUUUACAAAAGUUGUCAACUAAAAAAGGGAAGAAUCUAGAAGGCAACAACAUCAUACAGAAAAGUUCAUGAUCUAUUUCACUUUAGGAUACAAAAAGAGACGGAAACUUUUUUUUUUUGGUUUGGUUUUGUUUCUAUGAGAGUAUGAGCUAAUCUGCUCUACAUAUUUAAUCUACUCUGUAGAGAAAAUUUGAGGGUAACGUAUUUACAACUGUAAAGAUUACAAGGGAUUGAUGCAACCAAAAAACUGCAGGGGACUGCAUAGAUCCCUUAACCUCUCUUCCUGCCAUCCCUUGUAAACCCUACCAAUGAAGUCUUCUACUCUUGUCUCCAAGUUAUCAUCAGAUUCAUCCGUGUCUCCCCAACCAAUUUCAUCAUUGCUACCAUUGUCGUCAUCAUCUUCAUUGUAACCGUCAGAAUCAUAAUCUGCAUCUUCUUCUUCACUUUCAUCAACUUCAUCAUCAACAUCCUCAUUGCCAUUAACAUGAUCGUCGAUAUUACAGUGCUUGUUGCUACCAUCAUCCUCAAUAUCGUCAGUUGCAUCCUCUGAUGAACUGGACAGGAAUGGUAAGAUGCUUUCAACUUCCUCGGUAGGUGGUCUAUGAUCUCCAACUAUGAUAGCUAAGACUAUGAUGUUACAGAGCGAGAACACAAACAGAGGAUUGGAUGAGAACUUAAGAUUUCUUUGGUUGGAAAUCGACUGAAACAAAGAGCUCAGCACAAGAACAAUAGCUAUAAACAGCAACAGAAAGACAGGCCUAGGUACCCAAACAAGCUUCAUGCCCUGGUUAACAAACGAAUAGGUGCGGUUUUGAUUGUUUAAUUCUGAAGUCUCCUCUUCGAACAUACAAAUAUAUAGAGCUGAUUGCUUCAUUGUAUUUGAUAGAGGAGAUUUUCCGGGAAAGUUUGAGAAGAGUAUAUUAUUUGUAUACUCCAUGUCACAUUAAAAUGUAGCUAGUUUAGGGGUUAACCCAAGUCAAAAGUGAAGAAAACUUCCAAGCAUAUGACAACAUUUCUGGGUUUAUGGGUUCCUUGCUUAGAAGCUCAGAAGGGAGCUAAAAGUCUAAAACACAAGCAAGUCCACGUAUCAAUUGGGUGUUAAUUUGGGCAAAGAUAAAAAUAAUGAAGCCAAAUAGCCAAUGCAAACUUGAAAUGUGGAUUAUUAGGGAAGUCAGUCUGAUCAUAGUUUUAAUAUAAUUUAGUAUCUCAAUGAUUGUAAAGAUUUUUGUUCAUCUUCACAAGAAAUUGGCCAGGAUUUGUGAAUCUCUGAAUCAACUUUUAAAGCCCUGUGAGGUAUUGAACAAGCCAAUUUGUUUACAGCGUAUAGUAGACGGGUGACUUGGGGAUGUUGAUGUUGGGUUUAACACAAGUUUCUGUGAAAUUUCCACAUGAGAGGUGUUUUUCGCUUUUUUCUUUUGGGUUCUGCACUUCUGCAUGAGCCAUGAAACUUCAGGUAGUUGACAAAAACAGCCGCAGAUUUGGGGAUGUUUUGAAGUUGACAUAUUGAAAUCUGGGCGGCAAAAUUCUGUAAUAAAAUAAAUGAUCACGAAUUUUUAUUCUUUUUGAUCGGUGGGUGGUUUGCCACCUCGGCAUCAGCGAGUACCAACACACUCACUCAAUUAGUAUCCAGACCGAGGUUCACGACAUAUCCCGGCAAAAUGAGACUUAUCUCUUUAGCAAAACAUUUCAAUAGAAAUAAGAUCACUUGAGCUAACAAAAGUUCAUCGGUUAACCUGAUAAAAAUAUGUGAAGAAAGGUCUUGGUUGAACUCACUUGGACUUUAGCUCAGAAUUUUCAGACGCGGCUAUGUCCAUUGUUACAAAACCGCAUAUGCUUGAGCAGUUGAGUGGGCAAUUCCCAGUGGCACAACUCUUUUGUUUAAGUUCAUGCACCCGAUUUAAGUUGCCAAGAAAUGGGGAUUGCUCAAAGCUGACCGUUGAGUGUUUCUUCUAUUCUGAUUUGUUUAACAAGAUGAUUAGUAGCUUCUCAUGAUGUUGAUUGGUAGCUGACUAGAGCCGACUAGGGUUUGUCAUGCUUGCUGGGAUUGGAAAGAGACUGGGAAAUUUUUAAAAACAAAAACCUCAAAAUCAAUGUUUUGUUCUCGGCCAUCCGAAUCACUCGAGUUGAAGCAACAGAAUCAAACAAAUGAGACAAAAGAGUGAGAUUGUCACAAACAACUUCUACAUCACAUUGCAUCAAUCCAAAGAGAGUCAGAUUCGAGUGGGGGUGCUAAUAUUACAUUACACUACUCUACAUGACACAACAACAGCAGCAGUGCAACAAGAGCCUAUCUAAGCGGCUAAAUUAAAUGAUACAUCAAAGGGGACCAACCCCUGAUGAAGCUAGACGACUAGUAGUCAACGAGUUUACAGACAACAAACAAGGUGGAGUGAGAUCCAACAGUUGGGGACUGGGAGAUGAAUUGCCGUUGUGGUCAGUGAGAAACCUCAUGUUGCAACAAAUAAGCAUGGACUCUUCAAAUUACACCUCCAGGCACUGAUACAUUAAUGUCAGUCUUACUCUUAUGAUCAGAUGGAUAUGAGGACCAGUUAUCACCUCGGAAGGAAGUCGAAGACGCGAGGUUUGGUUUUGGCUCAGCACUUGAAACAGGAAUAGCCAUAGUUGGUGUUGCAUUAGAAAUGUAUUCAUGUUUCUGUUUCUUGGGUUUCUGCUCGUGCUGGUUUCCCGCCAGAAAACUGCCAACUACAACCUGAUAUCAAUCAAGAAAGACAAAUUAAAACCAUGGUACAUGUUGUUUUUCAAAUUUCAAAAGGUAACUGAUAACCAUCCUGCUGUUUUUGUUCUUUUUUAUUUCCGUCCAUGAAGUUUGGACCCUAGACACUGAUCCAUACCUGCACAGGACUUGCAGCAACUAAUAGUCCAGCAACUCCACCACCUACAACACGCCCAUCUGGACUUGCUAAAGAAACACUCAUCCCACCUGAUCUGCUUCUUGUCCCUCCAAUUUCAUUUGGCAUAAAGGAACCAGAUAAAGACAGUAUCUCAAAGCGACCCUGCAAGAAAAAGGCAAAGAGAGAAAGUUCAAUAAACUGCAAGAGAUCCAAUAUUAAAAACUGAAAGUUGUAAAAACAGAAAUAUGGUCCAGUUUUUUAGAAGUAUCAGAUGAAAACCAAGUCCUUAAAUCUGUGGAUAAUGUGGCCGAAAAAGAAGAUAUGUAGCUGCAUUUGGGGAUAGUUGAAAAGGUUGUGGGUUGGGAUUGCAACAGGCUGACAAGAGAUAUAAUCAAUGCAUGGCCAAUGUUAUCCUAAUGGGAAGAGUUAAUGUACCGAUGAUGGGCAAUUUCUGUCCUCUUCAAGGUCAAUUCUGGGCAGACAAACAAAAUUUUAGCUUUUCUACGAUGAAGUUUGCAUUAAAACAACUAUUCAUCUUCAUUGAUUCCAAUUACCCAUAGAGUCCACCACAAUUCUAAUCUCACCUGUUAACUUUCCUAGUUAUUGGCAGUAUCAGCACCAAGAGUGCUAGACAUUCAGCAGUCUAUAAUGCACACGCAACAACAGAAUAGUAAUACUGGCCAAAGAUUGGGGGUUUGACUACAAACUCACUAGCUGUAAGCCCCGCAGUCCAAAUUAUGACAUCAUAACAAUAACAGAGUUAAGGGAAAAGAGCUCUCAUUCUGAAGGGGCGAAAAACACCUAUAUAUUUAAAUGUCUUUGAAGGGAUAUACCCAAAUCAUUGUAGAAAUACCCCACUAUCUUACUGAAGGAAACUAGCAACAAAACAAGGAUAAGAUGCAUCACCUCAUAUGUCAAUGUACCACCAGAAGAAUCAGGUUGACGAAGUGUAACACUUGAUAUCACACCAUUUGCGGAGAGCACACAAAUAGCUCGAGGACCUUGUUGAGAAAAUGAUAUAAUCUUCAUCAUGACAUCCUAAGACAACCAGAGUUGUUACAGAAAAAGUCAAGUUUAAGGUCUUCAAGUACUCAAGAAGUUAGAAACAAAAAAACUACUAAAGAAGUUACUAAAGAUCCGACACGUGUACUAGUUAUCAAAGACAUCUGCUGACUCUAGUCUCCAGCUAUUUAAACCAUGUAAUGUACUUAUUUAGACCAACAAUCAACAUUAACUAGAUUCUUCAAGUUAAUUACCUCGCCAGAAUUAACAUUGAUGAUAUGAGGAGUAAAAUUAGCACCAACAGAGCAUGCAACCCAUUCACCUACACAAAUGAAAUUCUCACAAUAUGAGACACCUGGAAAAGAGCUCUCCACUUUGCGAUAGAUUCUGUAAGAUUUGCACUUCAUCAAGUUUGUUACAGAAAUCAAAGUCAGGAAAAGUAAUAUAGACGAUAGAGUACUAAUUCAAAAGAUCAUUAACAAUCUUUUAUAGGUUCCCUUAAAAAAGCUUUAAUCCUUUGUUUUACCAAAAACAACCGUUGACUCACACUUCUGCCAAUUGCAUAUCGCACUCCAUAGAACCAACAAUAACACCCUCAGCAUCAACCAUACACAAUAGAUUAGGAAGUAACUCUACGACAAUUCAAGAAACUAGAUUAACGAAUAUAUCUUAUACAUCAACAUAUUAGGUAGUCUUUAAAGAUUCCUAAUAAUUUCUGUUGGACAGUAUAUGGUCUGAGAUAGUAAAGUUUACUCAGAACCCUUGUUCCCAGUAGAUUAUAUGCCCAAUGAUUCAUGCAGUACAAAGGUAACCACUCAUAAAAGUAAAGUGGCAGUUAUUGUUUAUGCUAAAAUCAAAAUUGGUACCAUUCCUUAUCUAUCUUGUUUCAGAAUAACUAAUCAUGCAAAGAAAUAAUAAUACAAGAAAAGAAAGUCCGAGUAUCUGUAUAUAAGCAGAUAUCGAGCAACAAUGAAAGAACACACAAUUAAUGGAUUAUCAGAAAGGACAAUUGAGAACAAGCUGAGCUAUAUUUAAUGCGUCAGUGAAACAAAUCCAGUGAAUGGAAAGUACAGAGAUGCAUUAAGAUGAAUGAUCCAUCUGAAAAGAAAACCAGCAACUGCAUACAAACUUAACAAACUGAUUUGACUAAUGAUGAUUAACAGCCAAAAAAUUACUCAAAAUUCCACAUGGCAUAUUUCUGCUGAUCUAUAGCUAAGAUUAAAGAUUCCACCCUACAUCUUGCAGAGAACUAAAUCAAGCUGACGCAAAUGAAAACUAGCAGCACACGAUAAGACUCAAAAAGCCAACGACCAUCGCGGUCUCAUCCUGAGUAACCAAGAAUACAACACAGACUCAGAGCUGAGCUGGGUAUCUUCAAGAAGGACAAAACUGUAUCAAAGAGUGGGGAGAAGGGGGAUAUCCUUUUUUAGGUUCAUGUCAGCAAGUUUAAGACAGGUUUCAAGUCCAAGCAGUCUGUAUACCAUCACUUGCAGACUUUAGCAGGUACACAACUUGGCACCUGGCAUAAAUCUCCUUGCUCUAAAAAAAGGUGAGAGAAAUGCCAAAGGACAGCCAUAAGAAGAAGAUUCCAUCAUUCCCAUACCAACCACAAAACUCAUCUUUUCAGAACCACCACACAAACACCAAGAUCUCUCUCUCUCUCUCUCAAUAACAGCAUCAAAUCACAGGUCCCACAUCUACCCAACCAAGAAUCCCAUAAACCCCAAAGCUCCAUCAAACACACCCUCUUAAAUUCUCAAUCCCUCCCAACAGAAAGACUCGAUCUUCCCCCCAAUCCCCACAUAGAAACAACACUAAAGAUCACAACUUGAGCUCAGAAGCAACUAUAAAAUGACUCAAAACUCAAAAGGGUAUAUGCAUCAAACAAAUAAAAAACCAUUCUUUCAUUACCUAAAUUCUCCACCUCAUACUUGGUCUUGCUCACCGAGCUGGCCGGCUUCACUUUCCCCCGCGGCUGCUUCUCCGCCGAGAAAUCAAUCACCGGAGGCGGCGCCGCCGACGAUAUCGGCUUCGGUGACAGCGCCAUAGUAACACUCCCAUCCGGCCCAUACUUCCUCGGCCUCCCUCUCUUCUUCUUCACCGGCAUCGACCCGGCCGCCGCCGGCACGGUCGCCGCCGUGGGCGGCGGCGCAACCGGCGGCGUAGGUGCUGAUCCGGCGUUAUUUGCCGGGUUUUCGAGCCUCGGCGCCACGUGGUAGUCUGAUGGAGCAUCUGAUCCCACCACUGUAACCCCACUACUAUUCACAGCUUCCCUUCCCUCCAUUGAUAGAGUUACCUUAAACCCCAAAGCUUGAGUUUUUUUAACAGAAAACCAUUUUUACUUUACUGAUCUAAACCCACCCAGCUCAAUGAUGCACUAAGAAUUUUGAACCCACAGAAUGAUGGUAGGAACCCAAAANNNNNNNNNNNNNNNNNNNNNNNNNNNNNNNNNNNNNNNNNNNNNNNNNNNNNNNNNNNNNNNNNNNNNNNNNNNNNNNNNNNNNNNNNNNNNNNNNNNNNNNNNNNNNNNNNNNNNNNNNNNNNNNNNNNNNNNNNNNNNNNNNNNNNNNNNNNNNNNNNNNNNNNNNNNNNNNNNUGAAAGCUUCCUAGAGAUUUUGAACUCAAAAAACUACAGGAUAAGCAAAAGAUUAAAAAUUUGGCAGCAAAAGUAUAUGAAUGUUUUAAUCUACUGGAAGCUGCAGUGUUAAGCUGGAGAAGACUGAGCUUCAAGGCAAAGAGAAGGAAAUUUUAUUUUCUGGGAAGAAAAAAAGAUUGGAUUUUUAUUUGUUUUGGGGAUGGGAAGAAGAAAAAGAAUGGAGUUUUGAGGUCUGUGAAUUCGGAUUUCAAUGGGAAAAUGGUGAGAUAAUAAUAAGAAAGCUUGUUUUUGUUUUUCAGCUUAUUGGGUGCCUAACUUUCCUAAGACUGUCCGAAUUGAGAUUAAAAAAUUGGAAAUGAAAAGAUGGAAAUAAAAUAAGUUUUUGAAUAUGUUUAACAAUUUUGUUAAAAUAUGAAUUUUCUGGUUUUGGUUGGAAUCCGGUGAGAAGUAAUUAUAGUUUAUAAAAUAAUUGGUAGUGGGUAGGGGGAUUUUCUUUUCUUUAUUUUUUAAGUGUGGUUUUUGCUUGAAAUACGGGCAAAAGUGAAAUGGAGUAAUUAUUGUUUUUAUUAUUUAUAUAAUUUUUUAGGUGAAUGGAAAAGUAAAAUUAGGUUGCCAAGGCAUGAAGAAAGAAAUUGUCUAGAAAAGGGAAAAAGAUGGGGUGGGGGGGUGGGCUUGGGUAUGCAUCAACUUUUCCAAGUUAUGGUACAAAUGAAAAAGAUAAUUCAAACAAAAAAAAAAAGCAAAAACCAUACCAACCUAUAAAAUAGAAAUGAAAAAAACAAAUCAUAGAAAGAUAAGUCUCAUUUGCAAUAGCAAUCUCCACAAACUUCCACAUUGAGGUACAACUCUCUUGUCACUUUUAAUUAGGAGAUGAGCAACAAGAUGUUUGUUACUUCUAAAUUGAGAAUUGUUUGACUUUGGUAUAUAGUAGGAUAAUUAUAAACGAUUUCGACACACAAGAGUUAGGUCUUAAAUAUAGAAGUAAAACAAAAUGCGUAGAAGAAUAUGUAGUGUUAUCAUAAUAAUCGUUGUUAGUUUUGAGUCACUAUUAUUAUACAUAAUCAAAAUUUUCUCUUAAACAAUAUAACAAAGUAAAAACUCAAAAGACAAAGAAGUGCACUAACUUCAUAAUUCAUAUUCAUCCGGCACUUGAAGAGGUUUUAGGUUACUACAGAAAUGCAAGUUCUCCAUUUUGUGAAUUUAAAUAAUGGACCAACAAAAUCAAUUCGCGUUUGAAAUAUUAGUAUGUAUCAAGAACUAAACUAUAAUCUUUUGAGCAAGAGAGUAGCAAAAACCAUCCUAUCUUGUUCAUGUUAAUGGGGGCGAUGACUUAAAAUACAAUCAUACUCAUAGCAUUUGUGUUAAUGGGGAUCAAAUGACAAUGCAAAGUUGUGUUUUGUUUAAGAGGUAAAGAACCAAAAGAGAAGUGCUUGAAGUUUAUAGCGUGCUUAAAUAAAUUUGGGCAUGUUUAGUGGCAGCACAUGAUAUAGCCUUAUCUCAUAUAUUUUUAGUGUCUUAUCGGUUAAGAGAUAAUGAUUAUUUUUAGUCAUAGUGGAAUCAUAUGUACUUGGAACCAUGUUAACUACCAUUUGGCGUUCGACGCCCGGCAAAUAGCUUGAUUUUUUUUGAGAUUUGUGACAAGAUUACGACACUGGCCACACUGAAGUUUCAGAUUCUCCUUAACUUGAAAUUUCAGAGCGAGCUCUUAAUAUAAUAUCAGCAUGCACGUAGUUUAGUGAUUUAAAUUGUUCAUUUUACAUUGCAUCUGUGAGUACCGCAAACAAACAAUAAGUAUCACAAUUGAAAACAUUUCGGCUAUUUAAUUAUGAUUCUGUAAUGUAUAUACGUUUGAGGCGAACAUGUGAAAUAACAUACAUUUUACUUCUAUUGAUUACACGUGAUAGUGUCACCGGUGAAUAUGCCUUUUAUUUUUCUUUUGUAGGAAAUGAAUGUAUUACAUUUUGAAGGAGAGCACUAGGUGAUAUCUUGUUUCAUAUAUAUAAAAUUUGUGGUUUACUAUGAAAUAGUUUUGUUUUCUUUAGGAGGGAAGUGAAGAGGAAACCAACUCUUUCAUGGUAGAAAAAUCUUCUGUGUUUGUCCUUUAUUUUGAGAAAAUCUAAGAUUCGUUUUCCUUUUUCAAAAUUAACUGUAUAAACAAAGUGAAUAAAGAUGGUCUCACCGAAAAAUUGAUCAAAGAUUGGUAGAAAUUUUGGAAGUGAUCACACAUGGGAAGCACAUAAUAAAAUCAAGGGACACGAAUAAAGGACCACAAGCAUUGACCAAAGAAAAUGCCAUCGAUUAUGAGUAAUAUAUUCAAAAGACUAAAUGCAUCCUUUUCAAAUUAAGAACAGAUAAGUUACCAAAAACACCAGAAAAUUGUUAAAGAAAUUAAGAGUAGAUAAGAACCAACUAAUUAUUAAAUUGUGUGAGCAAUUGAAAAAUAUGGUGAUGAACUCGAUGCACAUUAGCUUUCACAAGUUUGUGUAUAUUUUUAUUUCAUUUUCCCAGUAUUAUUGGCCUGCAAGUUUUGAUUGGCAUCAUUUUUCAUCCCCUUUUCAUUGUUUAAUCAUAAUGGAAAUGGCCAAAUGGGACUUUAUAAAUUGUUUUUUAAUUUUGGUUGGUUGAAUGAACCCUAAUUUCAGCUAGCUUGACUGUAUGUAAUGGCAAGAAAGUUAUUUCAGCAGGCAAUAAUGAAUAGCACGGAAUUAGAAUAACAUAUCGUAUAUAUUAUAGUUGAAUUAAGAGACACUCCAUCCUAUAAGAGUUUGGCACUUCAAGCUGAGAUUAUGGAAUGCACCAUAUGUGUCCAUAUCAAAUUUAAAUACAAGAGUACGUUCGACUAUGAAAUAAUGCAAGGAGAGUAGUUAAGAGUGAAUAAGAUCGAGUGAUAUAUUUAUUCUCAAAAUACGGAUGGAUACGUAUUUGAACAUGCUCACAUAUAUAUAUAUUUAUAUAAUUCAUAUUCAGAGCGAAGCUUUACUUUGAAAUUAAAAUGUGAAGUUCCUUAUUUGACUCAUUUUUCGGUCAAAUUUCCACAUCUUCACCGUUUAGUUUGUAGAACCUAAUGCAUAGAUUACUUCUGCAAACUUUCAUCAAAUUUAAAGAUCGUUUAGGUUUUCAUAAUCAUUAUUUACACAUACAGUUUUGGUUAGACAAAUUUAUGAUUCGUUCAUUGAUUUAAUAUAAUUCGGUACCUUAACGAUCAUCAAUUUAGUUGAAACUUUGCAUAAGUGAUCUAUGUAUUAGUAUCAAUAAACUGAACGAUUGAGAUAUGGAAAUAUGACUGAAAAGUGAGUCAUAUAAGGAACUUCACACUUUAAUUUCAAAACGAAGCUUCGCUCUGAAUAUGAACUAUAUAUAUACAGAGACUUUCUCAGGUGCGGAUGUCCGUAUUUAUUCUUACGGUGCGGAUUUCCACUUUACACUCACUUUUCAAUCUAAUUUUCACAUCUUCACCGUCUAGUCUUUAGAUACUAAUGUAUAGAUCAUCUCUGCAAAUUUUCAGUCAAUUUAGUUAUCAUUAAGGCACUCAAACUCGAUUAAACCAAUGGAUGAAUACAAUUCUGUCGAACUUGAACCGUUCAUGUUUAUAACACAAAAAGGUAGUUUUGAGUACCUUAAUGAUAACCAAAUUGGCUGAAAUUUUGCAUAGAUGAUAUAUACAUUAGUAUCUAAAUACUAGAUGGUGGAGAUGUGAAAAUUCGAUUGAAAAGUGAGUGUAAAGUGGAAAUCCGCAGCGUAAGAAUAAAUGCGGACGUCCGCAGCUGAGAAUCCCUGUAUAUAUAUAUAUAUAUAUACACACACGAUCGUUAUCAGGUGCGGACGUCCGCACGGCUCUUAAAGUGCGGACGUCCCUCCUUUCGCCACAGUACGGCACCGGCGAGGGCGCGCCUCCACCCCAGCGGACUCCAGCAGCUUCCCCGACAACUUUUCAUCCCCGGCGAGUCCGCCGAAUUCCAGUUUUCCGCCCAGAUUGACUUUGUUUGAAGUUUUGGGUGAUCUGGCCGGAAAACUGGAAUUCGGGGGACUCGCCGGGGAGGGAAAGUGGUCGGGGAAGUUGUUGGAGUCCACUGGGGUGGAGGCGCGCCCUCGCCGGCGCCGUACGGUGGCGAACAGAGGGAAAUCCACACUUUAAGGCGGUGCGGAUGUCCGUAUCUGAAACGGACUAUAUAUAUAUAUAUAUAUACACGUCUAUAUAUACAUGUAGACAUACAAAUCAAGUACCCUACGUCGACACAAUAAUAUACGUCAAUAUAUACUAGGCAGGCAUGAUACAAGCAGCAGCAGCAAUGCUUAUAGUAUAUAUAAAACGUAGAUUACAGUACUACGUACUGUAUGAGAAUUUAGGCUGCAGAUCGAGACUGCAGAGAGUUUGGAGUAUCAGUCAAACCGAGUGUUGACUACUACUGCAUUCCAUGCAUGUUCAGAUCGAUCCAAUCUUAUUUUAGUAUCAACGUCGUCGAAGACUAGUCAAAAUUAGGUGUUGGUCAAGUCGAUCUCUUGUCAUCGAUCUGUGUCUCUGAUCAUCUUGCCUAUAAUAAUCUAUACGUUUUAUCUGUAUGAUCCUGGUGUACUAGCUGUUCUAGUUCUAGUUACCUAAAUUUGAAUGAUCUCUAUGUAUGGACUUUAGCCGCGCCCCGACUAUCUUCUAGCUAGCUAGGAGCCUAGGACCUGUAUUUCCAUAUAUUUCUACUGAAAUAACACGCAUGGAUUGUCAUGGAUGGCUAACGAAAGCAAAUCAUGCAUGGAGUGGCAAAUGGAAACAGCUUUUGUUUCCUGAUGAAUCUCAUCAUUGUUUGGCUCUCUAGCUGAUACUUAGAUAGUUAUAUCCUUGUAUGGAUUUCAAUUGUGUUGAUGCAAUGAAUUAUUCAUUCUUCUUCUCUCAGGAAAAAACAGCUAGAAGAAGUCCCACAUGACUAAUUGGCAAGAAGAAACAAAUACCUAAUUAAUUAAGCAUACUGUGAAGUUGUUGAAUUUGUACAUAUAUGCAUUACAUGUAGUUGACAGAGAGAGCAGCAGUCACUGUUAUUUCAUCAGCAAUUCAACCGGAAAAUUCCACACUAAACAGUUCGGUGUCAGACAGAGUACUUGAUAGACUAACAGAUUGAUCCCCUUCUCGAAUAGAAAGGGGCCGGACUUACAGUUAGUACAUACAUUCCGACGAUUGAGAUCAAAGGUAUGAUUCGGUUUGGGACUGGGGAUUUACAUUUUGAUUUAGGCUGAAGCAUGUAGGGAUCGAUUGUGUGGAUACACACGAGUCAUAUAUGAGAGAGUUUAUAUCAACUGAUUAAGUGAGAUAUAUGGUUAAUUAUGUACUAAUGGGCCUAUCUAUACCUCUGCUAAUUGAUCUUUAAGAAAACUAGCCUCUCUUUUGAAAGGCAUCCAGUUGUGUGAUAAGAGUGGGCCUAUCAGCUCUUUCUUGCUGAGCAAGGCUCACUUUGUCAUGAUCAAGUUUAAUUAGCCCAAAUCAUUAGGCCAAGCAUGAUUCAUAUAAUUUGUUCUCAUUUGGGCUAUUUCUGCAGGUUAUAGUUCAUGAGUACGUGCUGAUGAGCCUGCAGGUAGUUCUGUCAAUGACUGUUCUUCCUUUGGUGGUAUCUCUUCUCCCAAGCAAGUUCAAAUUUUGGCGACUCGCAUACGCUCAAGUAGGUUAACACUUAACACUAGCUAAUCCAACUAAAGUAUUUGUAAUGUUGCAAUUGGAUACUAAGGCUAUCUGCUCGCUUCAUGAUGAUGAUGAGUUGUGAGCACUGGGUCGGAUUUCUUGCGCUUAUGUUGUGUAAUGAUGCUGUUAAUGGUAGCUGAUGUGACAAAGGGGUAUGAACAAGAUGCUCAUCCAUGUAAUAAGACUCAACAAGCAUGCUGCUUAGUAAAAUUCAGACAACUAUGAAGCUCAUGGUGUUGGUAUCCCAUCAAUUAUUUUGAGGAGUCUUAUGUACCAAGAUUUGGGACCAAGAAUGACAUCAAUAUAUAACAUACACAUAUAAAAUGCUGCACAUCAUGGAUAACAAGGAAUCUUCUAAUUCUAAAAUGCUCCUUAAGCAACCCUUUCUGAUAGCUAAUGACUAAUUAACAGAUAGACGUGUACCCAAGCCAAGCUUGUAUUUGAAUAUUUUGGUCAACCAGAAAUCAAAUUCAAUGGUUGGUUUCUCUUAAAUAUAACUACAAGAAGAAAAUGCCAAAUGCUGGCAUGGCUUUGAUUCUGCUUACAAGCAGAAGAAGACCCUCUGUAGCAUCCAAGAUUCCAGUUAGCUAGAGCAGUCAGGUCUCUCUUUGGUGAAAACUAACGCUGACUUUGUUUCUUGAUAUUGAUCGAGACGUUAAACCAAUGAUAAUAAGGUUACUCUUGAGGAGGUUUAUUAUAGGCUUCCGAUGAGUUAGCCAGCCUAUACAACUGGUUAGUUCCAAUAAGAUAGGAUAAACAAGAAAAACAAUGUUUCCUGCAACUGUGACAUUGGGUUUCUCUCCCCAAAAUAUGGCCUUAUAUGUUUGAUGCUAUCUGGGUAUCUCUACGAUCUUCAAACUGUUCUUCUUUUGGCAAUAACCACUUCAAUUCCAGGCCUCAAUAUUCCUACUCCAGCUAAUCCUUUAGGUCGAUCAUGCUAUUAAAAAACCUCGGCGAUGUGAGAGAGAUCUCUAUUGGUAAAAUACUAACCGAAAACAUUAAGGCGUUACAAUUUUUGCCGACAUAGCAUAAGAAGGAAUUUGAGGAAGUUGUCCAGAAUGGCUUUGAUACUGUAAGAAUAUUGGACGCUUCUUGGUGGUUAUUUCUUCCUGUACGGAAUUUCUGAGAAAAAGGUACGGUCAUCCUGAUAGCUAGGAAGUUUCCAACAUUGUAUUUCACUUAACACGAUGAUAAAAACUAGCGAUAAUGUUCAUGAAGUGGCAACACUAUUUUUGAAUAAGAGAAUCUGCCAGGGAGGAAAUCACUAGAAAAAGAGGUAGCUUACAGGAAAAGGGAAAGGCUUUGUAAACUUGCUGAGACAGUGAGACAUGUAAAGCAUGCACCGACUUAUUUACAAAGCUAUGUGAACAACUGAAUAGGGAAAGGCUAAGACAAGAAUAAAGAGAGAGAAAGAUUACAUACAUAAAGAUUGCGGCUCAUCGCAGCAAACAAACAAGUCUCAUUUGGAAGCGCUAACUUUCCCAGAUUCAGAUUCUUCAUAUAAACUUUCCUAGCAAGGGGUGGUUAACUUAAUGUUCUCUUUUAACUGUUUAAGCAAUUCAUGGAACAAGUUCCUUAUUUACAUGAUUGAGAUUCAUCAAGUAAAUUCCCAUAAUCACUAUCAUUUGGAUUCAAGCUGAUUUGGUAUAUUAUUACAUAUAUAUUGUAUACCACCGGCCACUUGGCUUGAUCAGUCCCAUCACCAUCUUCAGUAAAGAAUUUCAUACAUCCAAAUUAACAUGUCAAUUUGUAUAUAUAUGAUUCCAGAUUAUAAGACAAAAAUGCCUGAUACAUCCUGAAGCAUCUAUUGAAACCACAAUUAGAUCAGCAUAUGCUAUUCUAAUUGCAUCAGCAUAAUUGGAAACAUCAACAAUUCGUUGAACUCCUGCAACUAGAAAAUGCCAAGAAGGCAUUUGGAUAUAUACAGAUUCCAAAUUCCAAACAGAAAAGGAAAUAUGAUUAGCAGCCAAAUUACUGAAAUUAGGAUGAGACCGAAAGUCCAUAUAAAAUAAUAACAAGCAACUAAUUAAUCUGUAAGUUACCCCAAAGGGGAAGAGCAAGCGAAAAUGACCCAUUUUCACUAGAAUUUAAGAUACAAAAAAGAGUAUUAUUCAUAGUUUAAUCCAUGACUUUACUAUGUGAUAUAAUCCAUAGCAAAUAUAUAUAGUUGGAUGAGAAUCUCUCCUUUAUUCGUGUUUACAAAAACAAAGUGGUAUAGCUAGCUAGCUAAUUAGAUAAACUAACUAGGUUAUGCUUUGCAUUACUUAUAUACUAAUACGACUAACUUUCCACGCAUGGAUAUAUAAAUGUAUUGCAAAGCUGUAUGAAUGUGAGAAGUAGAAUUUGCCAGAAAGAUAGAGAAGCAUGUAAAAGAAAUUCCACUUACUAAAGAAACUAAGCAACUUAGUUACAAUAAACUUUGUUGGAAUCUCCGAUCGAACAUGUUUGAUAUAGAAAACCACCAAAAGAGUACUUGGAUUAUGUAUUGGAUAGCUGGUUGUACAAUUUGAAUGAAAGGACAAUUGAACAAACAGUGAUGAUGUUCUAUUAAACUAGUUGAUUAAUAGGUCUUUUCGUCUAUCAGAAUGCUAAUUAGUCUUCUUGGCUUAUGUUGUGUCAUUUGUGGGAGACUUCAUUAAGGUUAUAAGUGGGUAUAGAUGUUAUGAGGUAAAUGCCAAGACAGAGAGUUGGGUUGUUUGCAACUCUGGAUUGAUGUUUGUCCUUGUGUUCAUCAGCUGAUAUAGAAAGAAGGUACAAAACUAUGAGGACACCAAAUAGGACGGGAUUUUAAGAUCUGAAAUUAGUGUAAAACACAUGCAUAUGGUUAGAGCCGAUGAUCCCAAAAUUUAAGUUGUACUCACGGCCACUUUAUAGGGGGAAGAGAGACAUAACUAAAAAAUAAAAGAGUCGAACUCAAAUCUCUGCACGACUAAAUAUAUGAAUGUAUUAUUGGACGCGACAUACUAUUAGUAUAAUUUAAACAAUACCAACAUUUAUCAAUGAAACACAUGUAUCAUGUAUUACAUAUGAUCAUCCCCAAACAGAUUAUUAAUUCUACUUGACCAAACAUUACCAAGUUAGGUGAUUGUAUUGAUUCUCUAGCUACAUUGUUAAACCUCUCCACUCCUUUAUAAGUGCAAGUUGUAUCACUUGUAUGCCAUAUAUAUAUAUAUAUAUAUAUAUAUAUAUAUAAUUCGUGCAUCUUUAACUGUCGCACCAACUCAUCAAUGGUAUGUUACACUCAUGAAUCAUGACAUUCUGCAGAGGAUACAUGUUUUAUUUUCUCCACUGACGAAAUGGCAUCGUGAAAGUUGUCAUUGUGGAACAAGUCCUAGGAUAAUAGCCGAUUGUCAACGAAAGAUCUUCUAUAUAUGUUUUAGGUGGAUUCACAUGCACAUGAAAUAUUGAAAACGAAAGCUGAGGAGGAAGCAUGAGAGUUGCCAUUUUCAAGUCGUAUCAGCCAUUUUUGUAAUGCCUUGAGAAAUGUUCAAAAUCAUAGGCACAUUGGUAGCUCCCAUUACCAUCAGCUAGGUCAAAGAUAGAAAACCCAGAACCAUUUUUCUAUAACCAAUGCAUGCAUGACUGACUUUCUCUGAGCACCACUAUCAGCUUUUUGAGCCCCUAAAGAACCAUGAACUAUAAUAUUUAAGGUAUCAUCUCCAUCAGAGCUAGCACACAGAGAACAAACAAGUCUGUGUAAAGCAGAGCCAAUUAAGCUCAGUGAUAAACUAAACAAAGGGCAUGUGGUUAAGUAUGAUUCUCAGGCUGCAGAUUCAUAUGGUGCUAUAAAACAAGGCCAGCCAGCUAUGGUGGAACUGUGCGUUUUAACCGGCGUAGUUGAAGGUAGGCGAGGCAGGGGUUUUAGUAGUAAACAAUCAACCAGCUGCCAAAGACACUGUAUAGUUAACCUUUGGACCACCAUGAUCAUAUACACUUCACCUUCCUAUAGUUGGUAGGAGAGGUUGUUCCCAACUUCCUAAGUUAAACUAUACGUACCUUUCUUAUUUAUUGUGAGAAUGACCUAUCAAUUCAAAUGCUGGAGGAUUAAACAUAGUUAUAAAUAAUUUAACCUACCAAAAUGUGGUACAUGAACACUGGUGAAUUUUGAUGACGAAGUCUUGAAGGCAUCAUCUAUUGUUUCCUUUGGAUUGUGAUCUCUCGAGCUCAAGAUAUUUAUAGAAUCGUACUUACGAUAUCAUGGAUGAUCUAGAUAAAUUAUGACACUGUUAAGCUAAAUACAUGAUAAAAUCUGAGAUUUUAAGUGAGUCGAUUCUUUAAACUUUAUGAGAAAAAUAAUCGAUGUUAGCUUAGAACAAGGAUUUGAGAAGGAAUUUUAAGGGGAAACUUGAACCGAAAGUAUGAUUAGUUUAACCGAAGUCUUAAUUAAAGAAAGCAAAUUAGAGGGCAAAUGGAGACAAAGCUGCAACUAUAGAAAUUGUUCGACUAAUUGUCGGGAGUAGUGGUGUUUUGCCUUUGGACACAUAAACCACAUUAUUAGCCGCUCUUUUAUUAGACAAAACCAAUUUCAAUUAGUUUAAUUAUCCAUUUCGUUUCUUUUUAUCUUAUCCUUUUGCGUGCUUUUGACUAGUUUCAAAUCCAAUUUGUCCCAGUUGAUAUAUAAAUAUAACUCCCUAAUUUGUUGGCUAUCCCAUCCAGUCGCUAUUGGACCCAAACCUACAUGAACCUAUUAUUCAAAUUUGAAUUAUCAUGCACUAAAAUAAUAAUCACAUUCUUAGAUUUUGCUCAUACACAAUAUAAAACUACCCAUGUUGUCGGUUCAACAAGCAAGUGUCGAUUGUGUUGUAGGAUCUAUAAUGAUCUUCAUUGAAAGAUAUUGGUGGAAGUUAGUAUGGAUGAUAUACUGUUUAAGCGAAGAAUAAGAUCAUCGAGGAAAAUGUACACCAUGAAUAGUUACACAUAAUAGUCGAUGAUGCAUGUAACUGAUUUGAUACUUCACUAGUUAAUUCACUUGAUUUACAAAAGAUUUGUGUUGAACGACAUCUAUCGAAACUCAACUUAAUGAUUAUUUGUGAUUAUUGUUAUGCCGGUAAUCUUUUAAAUUUAACAUGUCAAAAAUACUUGAGACCAGAUUAUCACGGCCUUACGAGUUUGUUUCAUUUCAUCUUGAACUACCCUAUAAUUCUUAGUCGUUUUCAUACUUCGAUCUACUCUUUUAUGUUUGUUUGUCAAACAAGUAAUUUGAAACCAUGAUAUGCCCAUGUUCUCUUCGCUAUGUCCCAAGCUGAUUUGACACCAAGAACAUGUCUUGGGGAACAUGGUUUCUCUAAACAAACCGCUUGAGGAAAACUGGGAUUCAAAAAUUGAGUCAAACAAAUUACCAACUCCUUAUUUAAUCUCUGAUCUUCUUGCCCUACAAAUCUUGAUGAUUUUCUUGCUUGACAAGAAUAGAACUUUUUCACCAUCUUCAUAUGACAUUUUCACACAGAGCUUAUGGGUCCUGGUGCUGUCAUUUAUAUACUAAUUAAGGGGGAUUAGAUUCUUCCCCAUUCCACACAAAGUAAAAACCUUCUGGAUUGGACACAAAGAAAGUAGGAACAUUCAAUUAAAAAAUAUCAAGUCAACCAUUAAUACUGAUAAUAAUGCCUUAAACAAGAGAGUUGCUAUAUGUACAAAUCUAGCUGUGGUGCUUAAACUCCUAUUUCUCUUUUACCUAACAUUCUCUUCUUUUCCUUCCAGCAAUAAACCAAUAAUUCACUACCAGUCUACCACCCAACUCCUCUUUUUUACAUUCCCAUCUGUUCUUUCCCUCUACUAAGUUUCAAACAUAAGCAUUUAAAAUGGAGUGGCCCUCCUCCAAUCUCUAUCAAAUUCCUCCAACCAAACCAAACCCACCUAUAACAGCAACUACUAUUACCAAAUUCCCACCUCCCUUCUUCCUUUUCUCUUUAUGUACAAUGCCAGAACCCCAAGCAAAGAAUAAUACACCAUCCAUUGCCACAUGCCAGCUAGUGAAUAAGCAAUUCUUCCACAACAUCCUCAAGAAAAAGACCUGAUGAGUCCCAAAUUGUACAGAUUCCUUCUCACUAAGCUCCCAAGUGAUAGCAACACUGUCCCACCAACCCCAACUGCCUGCUCUUCUCUUUCACCUUUGGAAUGGCAGAUCAAUGGCAGUUCCUUUACUUUCAAGUCACUUAACCCUACUCUCUGCCUCACUGCAUCGAUGGUUUCUCGAUCAGCAGGGUUUCCAAUUGCAUCGGUGACAUAGAAAACGUUCUGAGCCUUGUCUGUCGAGGUGGAGAUCUCGGCCCUUGUCACAUUGAGACCGGCCUCUCGGAAUGUUCUAGUGACUUUUGCUAGAAGACCAGGUCUAUCCUCAGUGCACAAUUCAAGUCUCACACCCUGAAAUGACAUAUCCCAAGUAGGAAUUAGCACAAUGGACACUAAAACCAAAUGAAAUAACCAAAACCAUUUAGAUUGAAGUGAGCAAUACCUCAGAUGCUCUUCUUUCAAUGGCAGCUUGCAAGCAUUGGAUUACACGAUGUCGUUCCGGUUCAGAACUAAUUGGGGUCCCAUCAGUAUGCCUAAUGUAAAAUUCCUGAAACAAAAUUCAACCACAAACUCAAGUUAGUUAUUCGACUCAACAACAAACUUUAAAAGUUUAAAAUUUAAAAUUUAAAAUCGGAGCACAAACAUAAACCAACUACAAGGAAAUGAAUCUAUACCAUGUGUGCUCUAUCCCCUGCUGUUUUAAUAGUGGCAUGAAAAACCACAUAGUCCAUAUCUGUCAUUGUGCAAACAACAUCAAACAAAAGCUUUGCCCGGUCCUUGCACUGAAUGUUCACUACAGAAUAACUCCUUUCAGCCCAAUUCUGCACUGUUACGAUUGGAGAAUCAGUGCAAAGCUGCAGGAUGGGCUUCCUCUCGUAAUCGCGAUCUGCAAACAUCAUUUGAUGGAGUCUUCUUUCUGUGUGUGUGACAGCCAUGGAAACUGAAGUUUUGGCACUCCGAAUAUCAUUGUCUCCCUUGAGAACAGUCCUCAACCGCGCUUCAAUUGUAUCAAUUUUCUGCGAGUCUUCAAUUGGACAACCCGAACCACAGUCCUUGACAUAAAUCAGUGAAGCAAUUCUGCCAUUGUGUGUCCAGACCUUAGACUCAACCACAUUGCAUUGCAGCUCGGCCAGCACUGCAAAUACCUCAGAAAGAAGACCAACACGGUCCGUUCCUGUCAGCUCCAGGGCUGUCAGGCCGUUAGAGCAGCUGGAGGUCCCAAAGUGAAUUGUUCCAAGUGACUGUCGAACACAAGUAAUUAAGUAUCAGUUUCAAUUCUAGACAAAUCUAAUUGUAAAUUUGUGUAGUAAAAAUUGAGAUCAAUAGUGCAUUAAAUGAUUCAGUUACCUGCUCAAUAUAGUUGAUAACGCUCUCGUCCGUUAAUUUGUUCCCGUUUUGAUCAGUAACAUGAAAAACUGUACCAAAACAUGAACCAAUUUAAGAUGAACAUUCAAGAAAUAUACACCCUUUUAAGAAAUUAAUUAAAAAUAUUAAAGUUACAAAAUUUCUUACCAUCCAUGAACCACCGUCCAUCAGAAGAAAUAUAAGCCUUUUUAAUGGUGAGGUUUAGGUCCGUGAGGACCUGAACAGCUUCGAGAAGAAUUCCAUGCCUUCUAGCACUAUCGACCUGCACAACGAAACAGAGACUUGAUUAGUCAAUAAUUUCGACAGAAUCAAACCUUGUUUUUUGGUUUCCAAAUUGGAGUUUGAAGAAGCAAACCUUGACUAAAGUCGCAUUGGAGCAGACGGCAUUGUCAAUCACGACCCUGUAAUGUAAAACCAACCAAACGGUCAAGUCAGAUAAACACCACCACCGCCACCGUCACGAAAAGUCAGAAAUUUUGAAGUUUUGAACACGAGAUUUCGGAUAUUAAUUAAAAUUUAAAAUAAAUUUAAGUCAGUGAAAUAAUAUUACUUGCUGUGAAGGAAAGUAAUCAGAGAAGAGAUCUGAGUCUCUGGAGAAGAAAGUUCCAGAUUUCUAGGAGUAAAAACAGCACCGAACCAAGAAAAUCCGGAAAAUCUCUCAGAAAGUGAGACCCGAAAAAACCGAACAGAAAAAGAGAUGAGGAUGUGAAUAAACAGGGAACAAGGGAACAAGGUAUGUAUGUACCUAGGAGUGUUCAUCCGGAAAACGAGUUUCUCAUACUCAUCAAGACAAGCAGCCCACUCCAUCCUUGAAUUCUAAGCAGAGCAGAGACGAACGACGACGUUUAAUAAACCAACAGAAACGAAAAAGCUCUCUGGGGCUUUAACAAGAAACGAAGAAGCUCUCUGGGGCUUUAACAAUCUCUAAAAAGCGACGAGACAAUCUAAGAAGAAAGAGGAAACUUCGCCGCCGUAUCAAACAAAGCCAGCAAUGCCACAGAAGAGAGAGAUGCCUCCACACACUCUCGGCGUCUUAGAUCAAAUCGCCACCAACACCAACACCAACCUUCUUCUCUGUCUCUCUCUCAAGAAAAUAGUUACUGUUACUUUCUCUCUCUCUCUCUCUCUCUCUCAGUUUCAAAAGCGCAAAGCACGCUUGUUUCUUAACACACUGAGGUGUUGUUGCCUCUUUGCCCAUCUGGGUGAUCUGCCUUAUAUAUAUUUCAUUAUUUCCUUUAUUGUUUUUACAAAACUUUAAGUAAUAAAGAUAUUUUAAUAUUUUAUUCGAUUUUUUAUAUUUCUUUCCUAACCACGCCCUUACGCAAAGAUUAAGGGGCGGGUAAUUCUUACUACUCACUACUAAUCACAUGCUGCCCGAUAACCCUGCCCCCCUCUGACCAACUCUCUCUCUCUCACUCCCUAACCUCCCCACUCAAAAAGUCAACCAAUUACGCAUACACAUGGCGCUUGAUCCCCUCAUUUGUUAGUGGUUCGUCACUUCAUUACCACCAGCUCAGACGCCACGUGUUCCUCUCCAAACCUGCCUUUGCGUAUUUUCAACUCAAAUUACAAAACAAGAGCACGUAGAUCAUCGUUGGGUCCAACAUGGCUUCGAAACUAAGGGUCGGAUUUGCCGACCGGAAUUAUCACCGGCUUUGUUUCGGCUUUUCCUCUGUCUGUGUUUUGGGCCGGUUUUUGCUUUGUAUCUUUGCCGUCAUUUUUAGUAAUUAAAUCUUGGUUUAGAUAUCGAAUGUUCGGACCAUUAGAUACUGUAAUCAAGUUGAACUGAUGACGGAGUCCGUUAUGUCGGGUAACGAUCCUAAGAUGCUCCGUUUCAGUCAAUACGGUGAUGAGAUGGCGGGUUGUGAUUGGCGAGACGUCGCACAACGUGCGGGCAUGAUUUAAGACGUAGGCGUUGGACGAGCUGUUUGAAAAUGUCUAAUAAGUCGACACGUGUCGAGCUCAGGGAGAGCUUACCAACUAUAUAGUAAAUUCUCUUCCCACAGCUCAGUCGGGGGCCCACCCGCCCGUCUUAGGUAAGGUAAGGUCCUUCCUUGUCUGACAAUCACGUGCGUGCUCCUCAGAAAACACGUUCCCCGCUUUGGCUGACGUCCCGUCGCACCGAGUUAAGGGUACCUACCCGACAAACAUAAACGGUAACGUCGGGCCGUUAAAUUUGAAACGGCGCCACGUCCCCGCUAGGGGAUACGAAACGUCGUCGGUUUAGACGCUCCGCAACAGGUGUGUGGUGUAGAGGGGGCGGCAGUUAUGUGGGUCACUCGAAACGCGCCGCUUCAUUUACAAAACCGAUGGCGGGAAACACCACCGCAUUUCGCGCCAAAAAUAGGGUCGGGGGGGGCCGUAGCGGUUGGCGCAGGGACCACGUCACGGGGAAGAAAAGAUCCCACUAUUGGGUAAGAAAAUAAGGGCCCCGUAGUAACUUCCUUUGCUUCAAAGAGCAGUGGCCUUUUGCAGAUGGACAUGUACGAGGACCAGAGGCUACACGCCAUUGACAGCUAACACUGUCUGGGUAAAAAUAUCUUCUUUUGAAGCUACGUGUCUGGGAAUUCCCGCCAUUUUUUUGGCUGGGUCGGAGUGUGAACUUUUUGACCGGUAAUUCUCCGGCGCCGAAAUCGAGAGGCACGUUCAGGGCGCCGCGGAUGGCUCCGUGAGACAGUGAAUGCAUGUUUUGAGUUCAACGUGGUCGGACAUGACAUGACGGAGACUACAGGAUUGUUAAUUAGUGAUUAAACUUUGAUAUAUCUUGGUUUUUAUUUGUUAAUUAAACUGCAUGAACCUGGAUGUGUUUUACCACUUUUGCAGAGUAUAUGCAUGCGCUUGACCUAAGAAGAAGGCAUGCAUUUUGCCUCCACGUCUUUUAAUGACUUAGUUCAAAGGUCUUAGGUUGGUUAGACGAAGAAGAUCAUGGCCGCUAAAUCUGGCUUUGCAGGCUUUGCAGGUUGGACUGUUGAGCCAUCAUGCAUGCAUUGGUCGAGUUCGAUAUGAAAGGUAAACUACGUAGUAACUUGUGACAUGUGAGUUGAACUUGGCAAUAACUCACUUUAGUCUUUCAUUGACAGUAAAAUAUGAACCAACAGUCCAACACCAAUCACUAGUUCUAAACUUACCUCUCUUUUUUCUGAACGCACUGUGAACUUACUUUAUGCCGGGUAAUUUUUACAAAGAUUUAUAUGUGUUAUAGAGAUUAUAACCGCGUGUUGAUGUAUCUACGAGAUAUCAUAGGCGGAGUUACAAUCAGACCAAAGGGUGCCAUGACACCCUAUGGUUUCUUCAAUUAGCUUUACUGUUUAGUUUAUUUAUUUACUGUUUAGUUUAUUUAUCAACUUUCAUGAAGAAGUUCCAUACUAAUUCUUUAUAUGGCCCCCUUUAAUAUGCGUUCCUAACUCCGCCAUUGCGAGAUAUCAAUAACCAUUUGGUAAUUUGUAUGGUGCCAUGUUUGUAAGAGACUUUUUUUUUGUCUGAUUUCUAAGAGACUUCAAUAUCAGCAAUUAUAAGUCUUAGUUUCUUGUGACCCUUUGCUUCAAGUAGUUCACAGAUCGAAUUUGCCAGCUGGGAAAGUGAAGGUUAGGGGAAAGGACAUUUUCAGAAGUUGGAGAAUAUGAAAACCAUUGAUACUAAUGUCACAUUAGGAGAUUGUAACUUUGAUCAUACAAAUUAUAAGAUUGCGACUACACCUUCCCCACUCGAAUAAGUGAUUAGUUUGACAACUUUAGUGUAGCCAUUGAGGGUCUUUUGGCUCCCCUUAGGAAGACAUAUGUACCCAAUAGCACCUUUCAAUUCUGUCACAAUUUAUUCACAAUUUUAAUCCAUCUUCUUGUUUAUGUGCUCAGCGUACAUUCUAAUCAUUAUAAAUUGUAUAUUUUCUUCAGCAACUAGAAAAUAACCAAGGCUGGAAUUCUUCUUAUAUAUUGAAAACAGAAAACAUGGAAUUAUGAUAAGGAGCUGUUGGAGAUCGAAGGCGUUGAUCGAUCACAUCAAUGGAAGCUUUGAUGGUUGUUCAACUUUUUUUUUUUUUUUUUUUUUCUUCUUUGUUAAAUUUUUUUUUUUAAAUCAGAUGGUUGUUCAACUUUUGGUUGGGGAAUAUUGUAGACAACCUUACAUAUUGAUACAUGUUAUGAAUCAUUUUUCCAUUCAUAUGUCAUAAAGCCUUAAAAUCCAGAUAUAGAAGUCAUUAAUUUAAUUUCCACUUGGUAGGUUUCUUCUUCUUCUUCUUCUUCUUCUUCUUCUGUUUUUGGUAAGUUCUCUUUGUUGAACAAAAAUUACGUCAUGAGUGAUCACACAUGGUAUUCGACGGUGAUUCUAAAAAUCCAUAACGACGAUUUUGAUUGGAAUGUUGACUUAAAUAUCUUUGUCAUGUCAAGGAUUUCAUUGAGUCUUGGAACGGCUAGCAAUUGGUAAUUGAAAGUCUGGAAGACUGGAACUGUUAAUCAGAAAUUAACAUAAAUUCUUAGAUAGGGCAAAUGCAGAAGACGAGCUUUCGACACAAUUGAGGAUCUUCAUGUGUAUAUAUAUACAUGCUAAUCUCAUAAAUAAGUUAUUUAACCUAGGAUUUGGGAUCUAAAGACUAAUGAUUCACAAGCUAAAGACUAACAUGAUUGUUUACAUUUCCUUAAUAUAUCCUUUUCCUUCGGGUAAACCCAUCGGUGCCGGCCAGCAGCAUCAUCAGUUGCAUAAAUCUCAAGGCUAGCUUCAACGGGCGGCCAGGAACACCUUCAUACCCUACUUGUCGAAUUUUACAUAACGAAAUUAUGGUAGAGGCUCCACUCACGAGAUUUCUUAGGUGCUACACAUUUUGCUAGAGAGAUUUACAUGCCCCCACCUCACUUGCAGAAUAUCUCUAUCUUCUUCUUCUCUGAUCGAACUGUACCACCAUACCCAAGUUCAUUCCCAAAAUUCCAGUUUGACUGUUCUGCAGCUACAUAGAAUCUCACAUUCUUUGCUAACUCUGCUGGUCUUUCUUUCCCUCUCCCUUGAUUUGCUGCACCAAUUAUUCAACAGAACCAGACCACCCCUUUGUCUCUAUAUAUAACAAAAUGGUGGCCUAAUCUUGGUGGCGUGGGUCCGAAAUUUGAAGACUUUCUCAGGGUAGCUGCUACUGUGCUGGUCUCAAAUGGUGGCAAGGUGACCCUUCUUGUUUAAAUCUCACAUGGGAUUUCGGUUGCCAUUGUCGACCGGAAGCCUAGCUAGGGUUAAAGCCUUAAAGGUAUUCCAAACGCACAGUGACACUCUGAUAUAUAUAAUCACUGGCUUGCUGCCUAUUCGCAUGACAUUGCCAAUGAGUCGGCCCUGCUUUUUCACGACAGUAUGCUUCCAUAAUUGGUGGCCAAACUGGAAGAACGACCUUUCUCACCGCCUGAAAAAUAAUUACCGCUAUAUGCGUUUUCACUUUUUACAGAUCAUAAAUAUGUGUAUGAUCAGAGACAUAAUCAAUGUAAUGGGCAUGAAGGACAUGUUCCAGCGAAGAUCUAACAGCGUUGUGGGUUUGAUGAUGGAGAUGUGUGUAUAUUGAUGGCGCCACAGGGACAAGGUGAUCGAACAGAGACUUAUGUUGGGUGGCGGAUUUAUUGUAUAGGUUGGUCGAUCAUUGUGGUAUAAUGAUAUAUAUGAAGCAUGCGAAAGCGAGCGCAUAUGUGUGUUUGCAGGGGUCUGGCUCAGUCACCUUCCUCAUUGAUCACGCUUCACAUGUUCUAUGCUUUGUCAAGCACAAGUUCAAUAACUAGAUCCAUCUGUCGAGUGCAGACGAUGAGUUGCGGAAUUAAGGACAUUCGUAGGAAAGCUUUUGCAGUCUUCAGAACCUCGAUAUGAGUAGUCUAAGUCCACAGCAAAACCUCUCAGUACUAUCAGGUUGUAAGAACUCCAACACUUUAGAGAUUGAAUGUGUAAUUUGCUAAAUAAGUAUAAUUACAAAAUAUUUUGUAGCUAUAGGCAAAGAUGUAUUUGACAUGUUCUUUUUUGAAUCUUUUGUGGUAAUUGGGCAGCUUGAAAUAUUUUCCUACGUGAGAACAUGCUGGAUUGAAUGUGCUAAUUGAGAUCUUUGUAUCUAUACAAUGUUUUUUAAAAAAAAAAUUUAUUAAUAACACACACCAUACAUAUGUCGUGAGGUUUGAACUUAUGACCUUAAAGUUGUUAGUAAACACCUUAACUUACCAAAUCACAAUAUCGUAUCAAUAUAAAGCAUGAUCGAUCAACAAAAGAUCAGUCAAUAAGUCUUACAGUUUAGAUAAAAAUCUCAGAAUCGACCAUUAAUCUCUAGCAUUUGAAGAAGAUUAUAUGCUUUGAGGGAUCUUUGAUCGACCUGAAGACCGAUGAGCACAUAUUAUUAGUCGUCGAUAUUGGGUUUAAUUCAUCUUUAUUCUUGAGAUUGCUCGAGUCCAGACAUCCAGUGAAGACAAUGUCAUCACUCAUUAGGAGGCGUCUAGAAUUGAUCACAAAGAGUGAGUAUUGGUUGUUGUCUCUUUUUGACGUAUUGGUGCAAUUGGGUUUGAGGCCCAACUGAUUCACUCAUAUCAUGCAUCUGAGCAGUUGGUUUCCAGGCCCAAGCUCUGAAAAAAUCCAACCAUUUUUAAUUUAAAAGCACUACGGUAAUUUUGAUUUCAACUCCGUAAAAGAUGGGCUCAUUAUCGUUUUACUAUUGGUUUUCGCAUUUGGUUUAACCUUUCCUCACCAACAUAUCCACAUUCCAGAACACUUCGACUCUUCCAAACAUGGCCGCUCACUCCUUCUCCAAGCUUCCCACUUUCGUAUCAGCCCUCAAUCCCAAUCAAACAACCAAACCGGAGUCUUAUUCUCUACCUCUGACCACGACUUUGAGCCCCGCAAGUCUUCAGAAACUAUGGCUCGGAACAACCAGUGUCGGAGUCAAAGCCCGACUGCCAAAGCUCCGAUCUUUCUCUUCCACGAUCUGCUUCAGCCUCCCGACAGCGUAAGCAAACCCAAUUCUGUCUUUGUUGCCAGAACCGUUUCUCUUGAUUUGUUUGUUUCGUUUCACGUUUUAGAUGACGAGCUGUUGUUUCAGAUGCUUCUGAUUUUAUCGUUACAGAGUCAAGGAAAGAGUUUCGUCCAAUGACGAAGUGCCCAAGUGAGUGUCUUCUGUUGAACUUUGUUUAUUGGGUUUGAUGUUUGAGUUUGGUGGGAUUGAUGUUUUGGUAUUGGUUGGUUUGAUGCAGAUGGUCUAGCAGGGCUAUAAAGUCAUUUGCCAUGGGGGAAUUGGAAGCCAGGAAGCUCAAGUACCCAACUACUGGGACUGAAGCCAUUCUCAUGGGUAUCCUCAUUGAGGGUAAAUGUUACAUAUCUUUUAUGCUUUUAUUGUUCAUUACUGAAAUGGUUAGUUGUUAGAAGUUAAAUACAUCUGAAUGAAUGAAUGUGUGUUCAUGUGAAUUAUGAAGUUGAAGCUUGUAGAAAAAGAGGGUAUGCUAUGGAAUCAGUUGUGAAUUACGGGUCUUUGGUGUAGUGUAGUGCAUAAUUGAUGAAUGCACAUUCUGCUGUUUUCUUAGCCAUAUUUGCAUUGGGCUGCAGGAACCACUUUGGCUUCGAAAUUUUUGCGGUCAAACGGAGUUACACUUUUCAAGGUGCGUGAAGAAACCGUUAAGUUACUUGGGAAAGCUGAUAUGUGGUUUUUCAGUCCUGAGCAUCCUGCAUUGACUGACGAAGCUCAAAGAGUACUGGACUGGGCUUUUGAUAAGAAAAUAAAAUCUGGUAUGUUUCUGUUCUGUUUCAUUUGCAUACAAAUUUCUCGUACGGAAGUUUUUUUAUUCACCUUUUCUUUUUUGAAUUCUAAAUAGUUCCUAUUCAUUUAAACAUCAUAAGCUUCCUUCACCUUGUAUAAAUAAUAUCCAGGGUCAUGUCAAUUCAUUUCUGAUCAGGUAUUUAAGAAUUUUGUAUUCUCAUGAGUUUUCUAAGAGUUCAGAUAUUUGGGUUUGGUGUUUUAAUAAAAGGUUUUUCUUCACUGUUUUGUCAUCCAGUUAAAAUUGGUAUUGUUGUACAACCAUGGGAAUUAUGGAACUGGUAUUUGCAUAGAGUGGCAUUUGAUUGCCAUUACGUUUAAGUUUGCGAUUACAAAAUCCUUCAUGUAGAGAUUGGGUCGUUGUAAUCUGAGCUGCAUCAGAUGCAAGAACAGUUUGUGUGUUCUUGAACUGACCUAGUUCCUUUCCCCUCGUUAUUUAAGAGAUAGUUUCCUUUUCUACGACAAUGCUGAAUUUUUAUCUUCCAUUGCCAUCUUAAAACUGAAUGCAAAGACAAAUCUUGGUGGAGCUCCAAAUGCCAUAUUUUUCUUCUGAAGGAAAUUUGAUAUAAUUAUUUCCUAAAUGAUCAAAAACACUUAUUUUCUUAAUUCUACUGUGGUUCUUGAUUGCAAGACAACUAAACUAUAUGGAAGGAGAAUCGUGUUUCUGUUGUGCAAUAUACCCUACUUGUUGAAAUUGCGGGACUGAGCACAUGGUCUAUUUUUUUUUUUUUUAACAAAGUCAUAAUUAUCAACUCCUUUUGCACUAAGUUUAAUUCUUACCUUUUGAUUUAUUGAUACCAGGCGGCAGUGGCGAAAUUACAACAUCUCAUCUGCUUCUUGGCAUUUGGUAUGAAGUUGAUUCACCGGGCCAGAAGAUGAUGGCCACCCUUGGCUUCAAUGAAGAGAAAGCGAAAGAGCUGGAGUCUUUAAUUUCUGAACCUGGAUUCAUCGAUGGAUGAUAUCUUCCUUUUUGUUUGUUGUGACCUGUGAUGCGAAAUUGUUAACCAAUACAUAUGGAUAAUUGAUGUUAGUUGGAGUUGUUUAAUGGCAUUUGUUGUUCGUGAAUGAUGGUUAACACCUGAGUCUGGAUUGGUUGAUUCUGGAUGUGAAGUGACUAUGUUUAAAGAUUUAGCACUUUUCCUCGCACAACUAUUGUAGAUCAGAUGCCAAAGGAAGUAUGAAUACAGUUUGUUCACUUGGGGAGAGAAAAGAAGAAUUCAUAUGCGCACAGAUCAAUCAAUAUUUGCGCAGCGUGCGCUUCAUAUACGGUCAUAGGAUAGGUUUAAGCAACAAAUUAACUUAGAAUAUCUAGCUAGGCUUCGGGUUCCUCUUGCCCUCUUCAUGUUCCUCUUCGUAUAAUUGUCAUCUCCUUUACAUUAAUUAUAUGAAAACCGUAUUUAGAAAAGUCUCAUUCACAACAGAAUAAUAGAAGAAUGUAUCAAGUUGAUAGUUUCUUCUUUCUUCACCGCUUCUCUUCCCUCCUUCCUCCAUUGCUAAUUUUCUUCUGCUCAUUGUCUUCUUCCCUAAACCCUCCACCUUCCCUUUUCUUGAUCUGCUAUCAGGUUUCGCUUCCUUCAUAUUGGAACUGGAACUGGAACCAUCACGUUCGUUAGUUCUAGUACUCUUGGCUCUUCUCCUCGAUUCUCUCUCUCCAUUCUUAUCGGUGUUCUUUAGUAUGUCAUGCUCCAUAGCCACCUCGUCAGCAUUAUUCAAGGAUUCAACCACUGAUUCAUGUAUAUCUUCACUAACCUUUUCCAUCGUCUUUCUCCUUGCCAUCAUUGCUUCAAGAACAUCCAUCUCAUCAUCUUCCACUUCCACUUCCUCAUCAUCAACUUCACCUUCUUCAUUGAACUUCUCCCUUUGGCUAUCAUUAACACUCGCAUCUUCACUAUCACUUCCUCCAACCACUUCAUUCCUUUUUGCUUCCUUCAAAACCUCUUCUUCAUCAUGUUCUUCGUAAUUACACUCCUCCAACGAUAGCAACUCCAUCAACUUUGCAUACAAACGAAGAUGCUUCCUCGACUGCUCAUGAUUCCUGCACUGCUUCUCACUCCUAAACGCCUUCCUACAAACCACACACUCCCAUUCCUGUCUCUCUUUUUUCUCCUCCCUCUCCAACUCAUUACUAUAUUUUGGUUUUCUCUCGACCGGUUUUGUCCACUCCUGCUCCACAUACUCCAUAGCCUUGUCCAACUUCUCUUUCUUCAAUUGCUUCCUUCUUUCCGUCUCCUCCUCUAUCUCCCUCUUUCUCUCCUCCUCUCUCUUUUUCAUCAUCUGCAUGAUCCUCUUGUCAAGCCUUUUGGCAUUUUGUGCCAAACCUCGCACCUUAUUGUUGUACUCCUUCUUGGCUUUCUUCCUCGCCUUCAUGUUUACACGAGACCAAAAUUUACAUCCUUUUCGACCGGCCUUACUUAGAUCAAUCCCAUCAUGCGGAUCCUCCCAGCAGAAAUCCAUUAUCGAACCAAAGUUGAGCCAGUAGUUGUAAAAUUGAACAACCUCCGGGUAUGAGCUAUCGAGAUUGCCCAUCUCCGGAGGCUUAUUAACCGAAUUCCAGGGCAUCUUCUUCUUCUUUUGAUAAGCGCGUUCAUUGGCAUAAAUCCUUUGAAAAAGAUCAGAAUAGACCUUAUAGAAGCCACUGCCGGAGCUGGAGUAGCCCUUGAAGUCGACAUUGUCAAAGGGGAUUUCGAGGUCGGGGUUGAAAACUUCAGGAACAGCGUAGGUCUGCCGGUAGGCGUCGAAGGCUUCUCGCCUUAUGGGAUCCAUUAGGGUUUCGUAUGCUUCUCGGACUUGUAAAAAUUUGGCGGUAGCUUCGUCUUGGGACAAUCCGCAUUGGGAUGAUCUGCAUUUGUCCCAAUGGUAUAUAAGGAUUAGCUUCCUGUAAGCAGCCUUAAUUUGUUCACCUGAGCAGUUAGGUUCGAGGCCUAAGGUCUUGUAGUGGCAGACACGCUCUGUGCUCUUCACCAUUGUAGUUUAGUCGCUUGAACAAUAAUGGAUGCAUGGGUGUGCGUAUAGUAGGGUUUAUAUAGAGAAACAAGAACAUAAUUAUUCCCUAGUUCUAAUUGGAAAAGCGAAACAAGAACAUAAUUGUUCCCUAGUUCUAAUUGGAAAAGCAAACGUGAUGUCUACUUAACCAAUGUAACAGAUCUAGCUAGGGAAUCUAUUUAAACCUUUUAAAUUUGGGAAAUAAUAAAGAAAUAUUUUAGUUUGAACUCCUAAACUUUCUUACCUUCAAAAGAAUUUUUGAGGUCUAAAACUUCAACAUGAAAGAAAACGUUUAACAAAAUUGCGAGGGUAUAUAUUGAUAUAAGAAGGCUAUGUAUCUGUGUUUUGCUAUCAAACGUUUACCUACAUAGCCUUCUAUAUGAAUAUGGGAUGUGAGCUAUGAUAGCAAAUAUGACGCAGGGUAUAUAUUGAUAUGAGAAGGCAUGUAGUCUGCUUGUGUUUUGUGUUUUGUUUUACCAACACAAACUCAAAAAUUCAUAUGAGAAGGACUUGCAUUGCUGCUGAGAUAUGGCUUUCACUAAUUUUAUAUGUUUAUAUGUUUAUGCUGUCCAUUUCUUUUAGGGUAUUUUCAAUUUGAUUAUUGUUUUAAUUCAAUUGAUAUGUUUUUUAAUUCAAUAGAUAUGAUCAGUUAAGUUUUUUGUUAUGUAUCAGUGGAGGCUUUUUAAUUCAAUUGAUAUAAUCAGUUCAGUGGAGGCUUUGAAUCAAUUGGUAAAUGCAUGUGGCACCUAGCUGGUUUUGAAACAAGUUAGCUAAUCUGUAGAUGUAUCCGUUGUCCUUAGUUUCUGUUGCUGGUUUGCUGCUAUGUGUAUGAAUCAAGAUUGCUACACAAAGCUUUAAUCGAUUCAUAAAUACAUCUGAUACCUAGCAGCUUUUGUGUUGUGUGGGAAAGACAUGUCAAAAAAUAUGCUUGUAGUACAUCUGCUAUAUUGAUUAUUCCUUGCUUAUCUAUGUUAGAUGUGUGGUGAUGACAUGUCCAAAAUCUGUUUGCUGGCUGUGUUAGGGGAUCAAACUUGGGGGAGUUGCCGCCUUAACACUUGUUGGACAAGCUACCAUUUGCUAGAUGUACUGCUAGAUUAGCAUUCAUAUUUUUGUACUUUGAUAGCAUGUGGAAUGCUAACUUAGAGUUCAAUUUUCAUUGUUGUUUUAACUGGUGGACUUGUAAAUGUGUAAACUAUUUACUCUUAUUUUGGUUGUGGUGGCUUACUAAUCUAUGAACUUGUGGAUUUACUUCACUCUCUUAUUUCAUUGAAAAUCUCUUAUUUCAUUGCAAAUCUACUUCAAACCUUAUAAUUUUACAAUAAAAGAUUUUAUUGAAGUUUUAAAAUUUCUUAUUAUUGAAUAUUAGUUUGAUAAAACAAAAAAAAUAUUGUGAUAUUUAAAAUUAAUUUAAUCCAGUGCUGCAACAAACAUGAGAAUGAACUGUUGUGAUCAUUAUGCUCUUUAGUCUUAAGCGAUACCAAACAUGGGUCAUAUAUUAAUAUAGCAUAAGCUAAGCUCAGAGAGUCCAAACUAUUAUAGAAAUUAGUCAUGUGUAACAGACAUGUUGUAAAGUACUGAUAGUCUCCAUACCUUUAGUGAGAGGCUUGGGAUGUCUUCAUGAAUUAUGACUAUAUUAUCCAUCUUCGUGACUAAACUAAAGUGUCUAUAUCAUUCGUUGAAAAGUGAAAUGUCGACUCAAUUCACUCAUGCCAAUUACUAGAACAAAACCAAACUCUCACUUGAUAUCCAACAUAAAUUCAAAGGAAGACUAGAUCGGAAUCCAUCUUUUGUUUGUAGAGGUCCAAGUAUUUUACCAAAACAAAACAAAUAAUAGAUUUAAAAACACGUCAGCCUUGUAUUUGCUAUAAAUAUCACACUUGGUAGACCAGUGGGGUGUUAAAGACACCUAUUUUGGGGAAAGUUAAUAAUCCACCCCGUUUCUCUCUCUAUCUCAUCGAAAAAGCCCUUGAGAUGUCUGAGACCUCCCCCUUCUUCUUUUCUAGAUCCAGAAAGAACAUCUCUUAUCCUCCCUCUUCUUUUUCAGAUCGACGAAGCGCAUCUUCCUCUCUCUCGUUGUGUAUUCCCUUUUUUCGUUUUACAUCCUUAAGCCUUCAGGGUGUGUGGAUGCUUGUAUGAGAUCCGGAUUGAGACGCUAUGGAGAUAAGAGACAAGUGAAACCAUGGAAGAUGGGCCUCCUUCAUCUUUCGCAGCCUCCAGGUAAUUUAGAUUCAGAUUUUGCAUAUAAUUUUCACUUCAAUCAAUUUCUUUUGCCUGUUUUUUUUAUUCUGUUUGAGAAUCAGUGUAGUUCUAGACUUCUAGGCAUACUACCCAGCCCCUAUGUUCAUAUCUUUCUUACGAUCCAUGUGAUUGGGCCUGGCCCAAUUGAAAUCCGUACUACGUAUUUUGUUUUUUAAUUAUGGCUGUCUCUCCUUCUUCUUCUAUUUAAAGCGCGAACGAUCUCAAGAUUGCUGCAAUCUCUUGAGCGCUUUUCUCUAGUUUUUCUUAUCAUUUAUCUUUCUUUAGGCUUUUUCACUCUAUUCUCUCCUCCUCCAGUUGUCAUGGAAAACGGGGACGAAAACCCUCGAUUUAUCUAUAACCCAUACGCUGAUUCCUACGUACAGAACCUGAACUAUGUAGUUCAGGCCUCGGAACCAGAAAUGGUUCUGAAUCCGAGUGGCAGUCAUCCUCUGAUGAUCGCAAAUCCAUUCUUUUCUGUCUGUGAACAACAACAGACUGAAGAGACUGAAGAUGAUGAGCAUACCUUUCAUAGACAGCAUCCGCCUAGAGAGAGGAGAGGAGAUAGGCUUAAAGAGCCCAUGAAAGGGGGGAAGUCACUCCCCGAUCCUCCCAACAAGCCUAGGGGUUUGAAGGGGAGCGGGAGCAAGUGCUCCGAUAAUGUGGACUGGAGGAGGCACUCAGACCCUCACUACAAGGAGUGAUGGGCGAAGGAUGGGCGAAGGGGAGUUUGCUUUGCGUGUGGGAUAGGUUGCUGCCAUCGGUGUUGUUUUAUGUUUGUUGUUGUGUGUUGUUUUAUGUUUGUUGUUAUAUGUUUAUGUUAUUAUUUGUUGUUGUGUUUUUAUUAACUGUUUGUAAUAUUGUUUAUGUUUAUAAUGUAAAAUCUAUGUAAUGGUUGUAUUAAUUGAAAUUUUCUGUCCUAAAAUUUUUGUUUCCUCAACUAACAAUCGUUUAAAUGGUAUCUAUCGGUAGAAAGUUUCACCACAUUAGUAACCCAUUACUAAUUGCAAACACACACUCACGCUAUAAGCAAGUUAUUUACCUCAGGAAUUUAAAGAUUAAUGAUUCACAAGCAAAAAUCUAUCAUGAUUGUUUUGCUAAAAGGGUACAUAAAAAUGAUAACUUUGCUAAAAUGGUACACUAAAAUGAUAACUGCUCCAUAAUUUUCCAUUUUUAAAUUUUGACCAUGAACCAGGUUAGCAACUCAAAUUAGUAAAUUACCCUCUGAACAGUAACCUUAAAGCAUAACAAAUUCCAAUGAAAUCAUAAAUGGAGAUGAUAUAUGGGCUUCAGUUUCUUUGACUAGGGUGGUUGGGAACUAGGGUCUUUGGAAUUCUAAGUUAUUGUAGUAGAUGAUGCAGUUUCUUUGACAAAGGAAAUUUUUCUGGUUGGAUGGUUGUACUGGUUUAAUCUGUAGUCCAAAAUUAAGGUCAUUUUUUUGUCAAGAUGCCUGGGAAAUUGUUGGUUGGUUGAUUCAGUUAGUGUAAUUCACAUUUAACAAUUAUUUUUGGUAGGCAUAUGUACUGAUGCCAUUAUGGUAUUCCAAGACUGAAGGUGAUGAGGACAUCACAACCAAACCUUUCAAGGUUUAUGAGAGGAAAAAAUGGAAAAAGAGAGCACCUAAUCAUUCCCUUUCCAUAUGGUUUGAUUAAUUGCUCUCGAUCUGAUUUUCUCAGCUUGGAGGGAAAACCAAGCUGAUUCUAGAAGUCUCUGUUUGUGUCUUUUCUUAUGUCUUUCAGUUUAGAAGUUUUAAGGUCUUUUAUUAAGUCAUAAUUGCGUCAGUUUUAGAAGGGAGUCUUAUUCAGUCUUUAAUGCUUCAGUUUUAGAAGAAGGGAGUCUUAUUCAGUCUUUAAUGCUUCAGUUUUAGAAGAGUCUUUAAUGCUGCUAAUGAGAGCUAUCUGCUCAAGUAUAAAUAAAUGUAAGGGCCUUAUGCCCAGUUUUAGAGUGUUUCUGAGUUUUCCUGUGAUGGGAUUGGCGUGAAGCCUAGUUUUAGGGUGAGAAGCCUGGAUUUGGUGAGAAACCAGGGAGUGAUUCCCAUAUAAAAGUGUUUUGUGUGUGUUUAAAUCCCCAAGCUUUGAAGCUUGUUGAUCCUGGUAUCUAAGCAGUAGGUUUGCUGCAUCAGAAGGUCAAGAUGCCAUUGGACCCAUAAGAACCAAUAAUUUCCGCAAGCUUUUACCUUUCGUGGUUUCCAAUGACCUGCCAUAGAGGAGAAAUUAUUGGGAUGCCAUUGGACCCAUAAGCACCAAUAAUUUGGGAAGAAUGGGGUGGUGGGAAGUAAAGAUCUCACUUCAUUAAGUAAGAAAAUAGGGAAAGAAAAAGGGUCCCAAAGGUAACGUGUUGUUUUUGAUGUUUCAAGGUAAUUGCCUUUGCUUCAAAGAGUAGUGGGAUUUUAGAGACAUGUAUGUAAGGCUACAUGUUUGAGAAUGUCCUUUUCCCUAACAUUCACUAGCUUGUCUGUGAGUUGGCUGCUUAUGCAUGAUUACUACUUGUAAAUAAAAGUUUUUACAAUUUAGUUUGUGGCUAAUCAAUGCAUUUUUUUGUUACUUGAUUUAUGUGGUUAGUACUCUAAGGCGGUCUGGAUUUGGGGUUUUGGAAUUGGAAAGGUUGUUAUAAUGUUACUAUAAUUGCCAUGGAAGUUAAUUAUUCAGUGGAUUUCCAGGAAGAGUUGGGUGAGCUUGAAAUAACUUAAAAUGUUUCCACCAUAUGUUCGGAGUAUGUAGCAGUCAUGCUUAUCUUGUUAACACCUUCUGUUACUUAUAUAGAGUCAUGUCCUAACACGAGUGCUCUGAUAAGCUCGAUGAUGAUUGAUGGUCUGUUUUGUUGGUGUCCCUCAGAUUGCUACCCUACAUUGAAGGCAGGCCUGAUCCUCUAUUCCCAGUGUAAGUACCAAGUUCUAUAACCAAUCCUUUCACUUUGUAUUAAAGGUGUUGGUACAGUGUCUAAUGCACUAUCCUUGAUUGCAGAACAAAUGGGCCUAAAUGGCAUAUAUGUAUAUAUAAAGCCAUAUUUAUCAUGUUUAUGUCUGCUUUAUUUGAAUUUCAUUGUUCAGACAAUUUUCGUUCUCAAUGCUAGGUCUCAUAAGAAGAGGCUAGGGAUUCUGAGGAGCAAUGAACAUCGCCCCUUGUUCUGUUCUCAAUGCAGGUUUCGAGUAUCGGCUGAAGUUGGUUAAAGUUUAGGGUAGAAGCUUGCAACUUAGUCAUGAGCCAAACUUGGCCUGAUUGCAUACUUAUUUAAGCUCACAUUGAAAUUCUCACCAACUUGUAUCAACAUUUUAAGUUCAUGCAUAUACACUAUAUGCAUGCUUUAAUAUACCCCAAUUAGUCUUGGCCUCUUGGGAACUCAAGCCUUUCAGUGUACAGAUUUUAAUCGACUGAUUUUUUUUUUUUCUUUCUUUCUUUCUUUCUGUUGAUUGCCUUGGAUUCUACAUACUUCAUAUAUUGUUUUGACUCUAUCUAGAUUUAAACAGAUUCUAACAUAUUUUAAUAGAAAGAUUUGUUUGGAUUUUAACAAGAUUUGUUCUUGUAUAUCAUAAUUAUUAUGGGCUUUCAGGCCUGAAAAUCUUUUCUUCAAAAUUUACCAAUGAUAUGCCACAAGACUUCAAACACCACCGGAUUGAUAUUCAUAUUAACCGGUAAUGGUGGGAGAGUGGGAGGCGGGAAACACCACCGGUUGCGCGCCAAGAAAAUGGGGUCGUGAGCGGUGGGCGCAGGGCCCACGUUACGGGGAGAGAAAAGAACCCAUGUGGAUGGUAAAGGAAAAAGGGCCCAUGGUAAUUUCUCUUUGCUUCAUAGAGGAGUGGCCUUUUGCAGGGACAUGGUAGUAUGGUAGGACUAGAGGCUCAAUAAUUUCUUUCUUUUCUAACGUUGAGUUGAUAGGUAAAGAAAAAUGAAAACAAUAAGUGCCUCUAAAUGUAACGUCCUCUUUUUUUAUGUUUCAACUAUUUAAGCCAAGUAGCCGGCUCCCUCACAUGGAAAGAAGGAAGAGAAACUGAAACUACAAUAUCCUUUUUUCUGUUGAGUGUGAUGUUUUUGGCCAUUAUCCUAGUCUGAGAGUAAAUCCCAUGUACCCAAUUUCUCUGUGCCCAUUAUGUGUUAACAGCAAUACCCUUGGUAAAAAUAACAAAAUCUCAUCAGUAAUUCACAAAUAUGGAUCCAGAUCCAAUAUGGACAUGUUUGAUGAAGAACUAAACAUCAAGAAUUGAGUAUAUAUUGUUACUUCUCUAAAAAAAAAAAAAAUCUUAGAGUAUAGAUUCAUGUAUGGAAGCGUAGACGUUUGAUACAUGAUAGUAAUCAUUUUUCCAUUCAUAUUCUCUGUUGGACAUGUUGGUGCAAUUGGGUUUGAGGCCCAACUGAUUGAUCAUGCAAGCCAUCACUGAUCAUUCGUUGGGCAGUUGGGUUCCAGCCUUCCAGGCCCAAGCUCUGCCAGUGCCCUUCACUAUUGUUGUGAAUGUUGUCCAUAGGCAAAUUUUUGAUCGACGAUUUCAACAGUUUUAGAGCAAUCAAACAAGAUCAAGAUACAAAAUCAUAAAUGAUCAAAAUACUUUAAAAUCUUAAUUCUACUGUGGUUCUUGACUGCAAGACAAUUGAACUAUAUGGAAGAGGAUCGUGUUUCUAUUGCCCUACUUGUUGAAUUGCAGGAUUGAGCUCCCAGAACACAUAAUCAUCAUUUUUUUUUUUUUUACUAAAGUCAUAAUUAUCAACUCUUUUUGCACCAAGUUUAAUUCUUACCUUUUGAUUUAUUGAUAACAGGCGGUAGUGGCGAAAUUACAACAUCUCAUCUGCUUCUUGGCAUUUGGUAUGAAGUGGAUUCACCGGACCAGAAGAUAUUGGUCAGUUGGUCACCCUUGGCUUCAAUGAAGAGAAAGCCAAAGAGCUGGAGUCUUUAGUUUCUGAACCUGGAUUCAUCAAAAUCGUUAACCAUGCCAAUACAUGGAUAAUUGAUGUUAGUUGGAGUGUUUAAUGGCAUUUGUUGUUCGUGUAUGAUGGUUAACACCUGAUUCUGGAUGUGAAAUGACUCCUAUCUUUAAAGAUUUUAACACUUUUCCUCGCACAACUAGUAGAUCAGAUGCCAAAGGAAGUAUGAAUACAGUAAACCAAUCAUACACUUCACAUAUUUUGGAGGUUAUAAAACAACUUACUUUGAACACAUGAUAAGAGUUUACAAGAUCAAAGCACAACAACAACAGCAGCAACAACUGAUUACAACAACAACAACUGAUUACGAGGAUAACUCAUAAAUCAUAAUCUCAGAGUCUUUGGCUGCAAGUAAGGGAAUACAAGGUAUUAAUUCCCAGUUACUUCUUUGGGAAAUAUAGGAUUACAGAGGUUUUCUAACUUUUUCAUCCUAUUAUCAAUUUCUUCACGACUCCAAGGCUGGUUCUUACUCCCAAGCCAGUUAAUUACUUUCCCAACCUCAUCUGCAAUUUUCUUCUUCAAACUAGGAUCGAUAUGUGAGUGAAUAUUUACUCUUCCCCUUAUGUCAUAUGCAUAGGUUUCCAACGCAGUCUUAGCGUCCGCAGUCUUCUUAUACUCCUCGUCUUCUAAUUUGUACUUCUCUGCCUCCUUGAUCAUCCUCUCGAUGUCCUCCUUAGAUAACCUGCCUUUGUAGCUAUUUGAGAUUACGAGCUUGCUCUUGUUUCCUGUUAGCUUUUCCUCGGAAGAGACAACCAAAAUUCCAUUGUUAUCAAUCUCAAAACAAAUGCCGAUAUCCGGCACUCCCCUUAAUGCAGGACUGAUUCCUGUGAGCUCAAAUCUACCCAACAAUGUGUUAUCUUUCGGAUUUACUCUUUCACCCUCGUACACACUAACAGUCAUAAUUGUCUGCCCACUGAAACCAGUUGUGUAUAUUCUUUCGUUCUUGGUGGGGAUGGCAGUGUUUCUUGGGACUAAAACUUCCAUAACUCCCGUUGCCAUUCUUAUCCCAAGAGAAAGUGGAGUGACAUCCAAUAGUAGUAAAUCCUGCACCUUCUCGAUAUUACCUUCACCACUCAUGAUUGCAGCUUGCACAGCCGCACCAUAUGCAACUGCCUCAUCGGGAUUGAUGCCUUUGCAAAGCGCCUUACCAUUGAAAAAUUCCUGCAAGAGUUGUUGUAUUUUGGGAAUUCUAGUAGAUCCGCCUACGAGUACAACAUCAUGAACAUCACUCUUGUCCAUUUUAGCAUCUGUCAAACACUUUUCCAACGGCUCCAUGCAUUUUGUGAAAAGAUCCAUGUUAAGCUCCUCAAAUUUUGCCCUUGUUAAUGUGGAGUGAAAGUCAAUACCUUCAAACAAAGAAUCAAUUUCAAUGGUGGUUUGGCUGGUGGAAGAAAGAGUUCUCUUUGCUCUUUCACAAGAUGUUCUCAGCCUCCUUACUGCUUUAGGAUUGUUACUAAUAUCCUUAUCGUGCUUCCUGUUGAACUCUUGUAUAAAAUAGGUCACCAUUCUAUUGUCAAAAUCUUCACCUCCAAGAUGAGUAUCCCCUGCUGUAGCUUUCACCUCAAAAAUUCCUUCUUCAAUAUUGAGAAGAGAAACAUCGAAAGUACCACCACCAAGAUCAAAUAUAAGAACGCUUUUUCCACGAACGACUCUGUCUUUUCUGUUAAGACCAUAGGCAAUAGCAGCCGCUGUUGGCUCAUUGAUAAUACGUAUGACAUUCAACCCCGCAAUCAAACCAGCAUCUUUUGUAGCCUGACGCUGAAAAUCAUUGAAGUAUGCUGGCACAGUUAUAACAGCAUCUUUCACUUUUGAUCCGAUGUAGGCCUCUGCUAUAUCACGCAUUUUUUCAAGAAUCAUGGAAGAUAUCUGCUCAGCAGCAAAUCUCUUCUCCAUAUUGUUGUGGUUAACCACAAUUAUAGGUUUGUCCCCGACACCACGAACCUUGAAAGGCCACAACUUCAUGUCACUCUUAACAGAGUCAUCGCUGAAUCUCCUACCAAUCAACCGCUUUGCAUCAAAUACAGUGUUGAUAGGGUUGGUAGAAACUUGAUUCUUGGCAGCAUCGCCAAUCAAACGCCCAUCGUUGGUGAACGCAACGUAAGAUGGUGUGGUUCUAUUGCCUUGGUCAUUAGCUAUGAUCUCAACGCGACCGUGUUGCCAAACUCCAACACAUGAGUAAGUUGUUCCAAGAUCAAUGCCAAUCGCUGGACCCUCGUCUUUUGUAGCCAUGUAGAUCCUCAGCAAGUUUGAAUUCUUGAAAAUUAAAGAAGAAAGCAAAAAGAAGGAGAAAUCGUGUUUAUGUUGAUGAACGUGUGAUACAGGACUAUAUAUAGAGAUUUGAGUGAUGGAUACAGGGUGGGAAUAUACAUAAAUCCUUAAACGUUUAGGUAUCUUAGCAAUUCUUUUCCUCUUUGUCACUGGAAAAAACUAUACUAACUGACACUAGGAAUCCUACGGUAAUUCCUUUUUGAGUCCUAACAUUAAAGGAAAUCGGUCAACAUGAGUCGGCGAUCCAUGUUAGCUGACAAUUACAAAAAAGAAACGAAAUAACAUGAUUAAACUAAAACAUGUGCCCAAGAUGUGUUGCAGUUGGAGAACAUUGUAGCAGAGAUUCUAAUUAGACUUCGACCUCAACACUCCCCACACUUUUGUGGUUUUCAUCUUUGUUGAGUACUGGUGCCUGACAUGAAACUGAGGCAAGUCUUUGUGCUUUGCACGCUUCUUCAUCCCAGUUGAUUCUUAGAACAAACAUCAUCAACAAAAUCAAGCAAGCAACCAUCCCAAUCAAGAAUCCUAUUAACAGUCCACUCAGCCCCAGUUUAACCUUGAAGGCUAAAACAACUCCCAAGGGCAAAGCCAGAAGGUAGAAUCCACCAAGAUUUGCAUACAUGGCCAACCAUGGCCUCGCUGUUCCUCUCACAAUCCCUCCACAAACAGCUAGUGGGAAAUUCACAACCUCCACCAAAGCCAUCAGCAGCAUCAUCUUCUUCACACCUCUUACAAUCCCCUUAUCAUGACUAAACAAUGACCCCCAACAUCCCCUGGCUGCUACCAUCACCAAUCCACCUAAACAACCCGAGAUCAAACUCACCGCUAUUGACACAAAUGCAGACUGGUAUGCUGGGCGUGCCCUGUUUGCUCCGAGCUCAUUUGAGACUCGAGUCGACGCGCAUGUUGCCAGAGACAGCAUCACCGAGUAUAGCAGGUAGUCGAAAUUUAGUACAAUGGCUAAAACUCCAACUGCCUGCUUGGCAUUGGCAAGCCUGCCAGUUAACAAGACCAGAAUCUCAUAGCACCACCAUUCUAGGCAGGUAGUGAGGCAGCAAGGUCCACAAAGCUUGAGCAGCCUAAUCCAAUCCCAAACACAUUGGUCCAACCACCCUCCUUCUUUCCACCUCCCUUCCUUUGAUCUAGCUUCAAUCACACACACAUAAAUUGCAAGUAGAAUCACAACCAUAAGGUCAGUGAUCCACACUGACAUUGCAACUCCCCCAAUACCUUUAGCGUUUGCAAGCACUAUGUUGAUUGGUAUGUGAAGGGCUAGGGCAACACCUGAGCAGAACAUGGAAGGAACUGUAAUGCUUUGCGAGUUCAAGUAGGCUUUGAGGGGACAAAGCAAUGCGGUGAUAACUAAGUCUGGUAGGAGAUAGAAAAGGUAGGUCUUUGCAACUGUUGAGAUAUCUUCUUGUUGGCCAAAAUGAAUGAGGAUUUUGUCAACACUGAGCCACAAAAAUGAAAUAGGAAGAGUUGCAAGAAGUAACAAGAAAGUUGUCAUGAGAAGGGUCUUGUGGAGAAGCCUGAUGUUUUUGGCUCCAUAUGCUUGACCACAUAUAGGCUCCAUGGCACCACACAGACCACUCAAGACAGAGAAGCCGGUGACAUUAGCGAAAGUGAAACCGAGUGUGCUGCCUGCCAGUUGAAGCUCUCCUAGUCUUCCUAGAAAAGCUGUUGUGAUGGCUAUCUUGGCAAACCAUGUCAAGUUCAUAGCCACGAGAGGAAGAGCUAUCCCUCUUUGUAUUUUGAGCUCUGCAAGCAUGAUGUUGAGGAAGUUGGUAGGCCAUUUUUGGGUGUGAGGUAGGGAUGAACAUGGUUGAGAGACACUCUCUGGUGGACUGUUUUGUGAUGUUGUUGCAGACAUAAUGUGUGUUGGAGGCUUGGAGCAAAACGGUUUGAAGGGUUUGGGUUGUUUGUUAGAGAAAUAAAUGAGAUAUGAGAAUUUGGAUUCUUGUUUUCUUCUUAUGGUUUCUUUACUUCUGAUAACUGAUAAGGUUGUUUAUUCAUGAGUGCAUACAUUUCGUGAAGGUGUUCUUCUCCAAAAGAUGCAAAUUGGUAGGCUCCUUUUGUAACUGCCAAUGAAGUGCAUGCGAAAGAUAGUGUUGGUACGUAGUGGAUUUUAUAGUGCGAGAUGAGAAAGCAAGGGGCCAAAUCAUGCAUAAAUUCUUACAAAUCCUCCAAGUAAUCUCAUGAGAUUGGCGUGUUUAGUCUUGAUGAGUGUGAUAAGAAGAAAUUCCACUUCUAGUAAACACGAGAGGUAAUCUAUUUGAAAGAAAGAUAAAAUUCCUUUAUCAUAUAGCGGUGGUAGAAACCGUAGAAUGUAAAUGUAAAAGAAAAGGUAAUCGAUAUUAACAAAACAAAAAGAGAUAGGUUUAGUCGGAAAUAUAACGGUUCUCCAUUUGUGAUGUUAAUUCCACUAAAACUAAGAAAUUCAUAUACUUCAGUACGUCAAGAUUUCGUAUUGAUUUGAAAGAACAGAACUUCAGUAGGUGUAAUAAUGGAACAAACCACUACUACUAAAGUAUCUAUUACAUAAACUUCAUACAACAAGGUAAGAAAGUGCUUAUAUUUAUCGAAUAUGAACUCCCAAAAGAAUGAACAUGAAUGAUGAAUGUGAGCCUCGUAGCUCUGGUGGUUUAUGCUGAAAUUCAGAGGAGGAUCAUAAAGAUGUGAUGUUUCAGAGGAAAGAAAAGGGAGGAAGAUUACAUUUGAAAAGACCGAGAGAGUAAUGUUGAGGCCUACUAUUAGCUAGCUAGGGAGACUCUGAACUAUAAGAAUCAACUGAGGCAACCAUACAUGGCCUCCUUAUCUAUCAAAGCUUUUUUCCUUUCAUAUUCGAAAGCCACCUGAUUGUUGAUUUACUUCCAAUUCGAUCAUCUAUGCCUAGAUGUUAGUAUUUUAUGGAUUUAUAAAGUAAAUGGACAAACACCUUUUUAGAAAGAAAUAAAAUUACAAAAGCAACUGUGCCGUUCAAAAUGUGAUUGCAUACUUUUAGAAUCCGAGCAAUUAUUCCUAACUGGAAAAUAUAGACACCACAUUAUGACUUUACUACCGAUUCAUUUUGUUUGGCCCAAACAUGAUAGAUUAAGUAAUUUCCAGAAAAGUGUGAAAUUGAUCAGGCUUCAUCAUCCUGAUCAUUUUUUCUCCGAGACAAAUUAAUCUCUCAUUUAGACAAAAAACCACCUCAAAUUUAGGUUCUUGUUCUGGGGCGUGAUCAUAAAACCAAUAUAAUGCUGAAAUUCUAGUACAAGAUCAUUGCUAGCUAGAAGGAUAAUGAAGAUAUGUCAGAGAGGCACUCAUUGAUCAAUCAUCAUUCUGGGUUUCUUUCUUUAUUGUGAGCACUACUUAAUUUGCUUUCCACUUGUUCCCCAUUGAUAAAGCAUGGAUAUAUUAAUUUCAACCAUAUAAUGCAACUAAGUAGUGCUUCUGGUCUAUUUUAUGUAUUGGUGGACGUCUUUCUAAAUCGAUUCUCUCAUCUAUAUAUGAUUGAGCUAGUUUUAGUGAUGUGUACAUACAUUCGCAAGUUUCAAGCUGCGGACCUCAUUACAUUAUUAGGCGUUAAAAUGUAUUAAUGGAAAAAAAAAAUUGGGCAUAUUUGAAAUUGUUUUACAAAAUUAGAUGAUGAACUUACAUAAACAUCACGUAUUCAAUAAAGAAAUAUAUAUGAAAGCACAUCAAGGCAGUCAUGCAUGGCAUAUAGCAUGUAACCCACUUAAUUUGCUUGGUUUGUGCCAUGAGAAUUUAGAGCACAAGAAUAAAUUUGAGUGCGCUCGUUAAUUGAUUCGGAUCAAAUUAGGUACUUGUAGAAGAUGAAGUUCGUUGAUAUUCUAUAAUACAUGCAACUUCUACGCAGAAUUUCAUGAUCAUGAUGCAAAGUUUAUAGGAAUAUAUAUGAAAAGGAAUCAGAUAUUCUUACCAGGAAUUACAUGCAUGCAAUCUUUGAGGAAGCCAAGAAUUUAGAACAAAUCCAUAUCGAUGAUAGAUAAUAUAUAUAACCGCGCGCAGUCGACGAACAUUCUUAAGUGUGUACUGGACUACUGGGUGAUCGAUCAAAGGAUAAAACAAAGGAGCCCUAAAACAAAUAGGGAAUAUAUCCGACAAAAUGCAACUUUAACUGAACCAAUCAUAUUUAUAAUCAAAUUAAGUAGAUGGUACCUGACAUAUAAUUUCUGUAAAACCUAGGACAAGAAUUUGAAUAAUAUUGAAGCGCGCACUAGCUAGGUAGGAUGGAAUACAUCUGUAAUUGCAAAAUCAGAUACUCAUGAUGCCUGACAAGUGACAUCCAAGAAAAGAGGGGCCGGUUAGGGACACAUCGGGUUGCUGAUCAUUUGGUUUAAGGUUUAGGUGGAGUUGUAGGACAGUGGCACUUGGACUCCCAGUCUCCCAUUUACUUUCCCAGUUAUACGUGGUAAACCAUUAUAUUCGUUCGAUCACUCUGUUUAUGACAAAGUAGCACUGAUCAAUCUGACAGUGUUAAGUUCGGGGUACGUAAAAAAAUUAGUAGUUGAAAGGAAGAAGAAUACUCCCCAAGUGGGGUGGAUCGGUCUCCCCAAAGUUUUAGUUGAUUAACAACGUACAUAUAUAUAACAGGACCUCAUAUAAAUUGGAUUAGUCGAACUGCAUGUACGUAAAGCAUUCAAAAGAGUUGCUGGCGCUAGCUUUAUCGAUCAAUCGGUACCUGGCUGGUGUUGGAUUCAUCUGCAAAAGCAGCUACUGUAUGUCACUUAGUAGGUUGGCAUUUUCAUUCAACUCAAAAUCACCAGAACCAGCCUGCUUCUCCUAAUAUAUCAGUGAUCCUGAUCGAACUGUUUUCUUCUCCUUGAACAACACUUGAAUCUUAUUUCAGAUUAAGGUUUUUAACCUGCAAAUUAAGAUGUUAGUAGAUAGUUAACUUUCAAAGUAAACAAGACAAUUCUACCGAAAACUUGGUGCUACGUAUGAGACCAAAUUGCUCUCAGGCUGAGAGUCUCAGCUAGCUUCAACUGGGGUCAUAGUAAAUCCUCAUGAGCAAAGUGUACCUAUAUGAAAUUCUCAGUAAGGAAUUACAAAACUAACAUAAAGUACGUGGUUGCCGUUGCAAUGUUGACAAAGACACAAGCACAAAUUGAUCCAAACCAUAUACGAAGUUCAAGUGAACACAUCAACCCGUCUAGCAGAGUUUCAAAAGGAAUGAUCCUAAACACAGCAGGUGAACACUUGCAUGCAUGGGCUUCUUUGAAAACAGUUGAACUGAGAAUGAGGCCGGCUUUGGUACAUCAGGGCAUUGGGCCCUGAAACCACACAAUUCUUAGUGUUUGCCUCAAAAGCACAAUGUAAGCAUUUUACAUUCUCAUCAACUAGCAAUCAACAUUGUAAAAUCGUUUUCGUAAAAAGUUUCUUGAAAUAGUCACUUCCAUUUACAAAAGAGAAAGUAAGAAACACAACAGAUUGAUGGUGUUACUUAACUUUUCGAUCUGUUUAAUGACCUUGAUCAUGCACAGUAUAUCUUUUAAUCUUUAAUUAAUCAAAACUGGUUCCUAUGAAAUAAGAUAAAACAGCAAUCUGUAAACAAUUGUUGCUUAGGAAAUAAGAGAUACUUGAAAAUUCAUAGCGGCUCUGAUUUUAUAUAACUAGCUAGAUCAUAUGGAUAAUAUUGUUUACCGCUUAAAUCUGUACAUUCUUAUUGGUGUUUCCUAUUUUAAAACUCCACUUCAAAAACCAUUGCAUAAUUAUAAUGAUCCAAACUAAAAAUACAGUACUAUCCCAACAUAAAUGACACAAGAAGAAAUCAGAAAAAGAUACAGUUGUAGCAUGAGGUUUAUAUAUAUUAUAGGCUAGAUUUGAUAUAUGUGUCCGAACUAAGCUAGUAAAUCUUUUAAGAUUGUCAAAUGGCUAAUAAUAUAUAUAUAGUCAAAAAUAAACAAAGGAAGACACUUUUUAGGUUACAAGACAUAAACUAUGGAAAUUUAAGAGUUAAGAAACCAUAUACAUAAGGGUAGUCUCAAAAAUUAUCUAUAAUAAGUUUAGCUUUCAUUAUUUGAUCAGUAAUCAUCAAUCCGUACAUUGAUGAAGACAAAUCUGUUUAUCCCUAUUCAAUCAAGUUAAAUGAAACAUACUUUAGCUUUAGUGUUUUUAAAGAAGCUGUUUACUUCCAAAUACUAAAAUAUAAGUUGUUCAAUUUCCAAGUUACUUCUUAAUUGUUCUAAUAAAAUCAUGCUCCCUUGUUUGUCUAUAGGAAAUGUGGCUUAAUUUAAUUAUCAGAAUUCUGUAGAGACCUCUUUCAGCCUAGUUUAGCUGCUUAGGAACUGAAUUCUAGGAGGAUUUAUACACCUAAACAGAUUCUAAAAGAGUUAGACGUGUUUGAAAUUAUAUAGUUCAUUGGCGAACCUUGACUAAUUUCAACCAUGCAAUAAAAUUUAGGUCAUUGGAGGGAGCAAAUUUUACGCACCAAGAUGAAUUUGCACUAAUGUGUAAGUGCUCAAAUCGUCAUAUGAGAAGAUCAAAUGAAGACUAGAGACCCUAAAAUUCAUUUUUUUCAUUUUUAUUUUUGAUCCGAUCAAAUUAAACGUCCAUAGUAAAAAGUACAUCUUUUUCGACCUAGUAUUCUCACCUCCUUAGUUAGCUAUAGAAACACUUCAAACUAUUUUUUUGGAUUUCAAUUUUGUUAAUAGUAUUAGUAUAUAUACAUGUAGUGCGACGUAGAUUGCCGGAUCAAAAUACUGUAUAUUACUUGCUCAAUCGGUUUACUUGCACAUUGAAGAAUUUUCAGUCAUUGCGCAUGCUUUAACAUUUCCAGCAACUAUCACUUGGUUAACUCGGCCUACCUUUAAACGUUAUCAAACAAAUAUGUAAAAGCCGAUGAGGAUUUGAUUUCUUAAAACAAUUAAGUGCGUAUGUCAAAUUUAUGUUCUCGUCUUGCAUAAUUCCAUCUAAUUAAUUUAUUUUCUUCUCAUAUGUAUCGCAAAGUUAAAACAUUUAUAAUUUAUCCACGUAUGGAUGAAUCUUGAACUCAAAAUACUUCUCCAUGACAUGCUAAUUAAAUCGAUCAAAUCGAUUAGAUGUUGUAGAUGAUUGACCGAAACGAAGUAAUUCUAGCUUAAUUUGCUUAGUUUACUAGUUAGUUUAAUGAUUUCAACAUCUAUAUAUCUUGUUAAACAAUGUCUAUGACAAUUAACAAGUCUAGUUUCAACUGCCAAUAGCUGAUGAGGACAGUAAUUUUCGUAUUCAAUCAAACCUUUGUAACUGAUAAGAUAUGAAGCUUGAAUUCUAUGUAGAUUUCGAAGGAUUUCUAUAUUUGAAGAUGUCAUGGGUUGAUUUUGGACCUGUACCUAAUAAUUAUGAUUGAGCUUAAAAUUAGGGUUUAAUUAGCCUGAAAUUAGGAGUAUAUGUACUGUAUAAUGUUGACCCGAUGCUUAACUAUAUACAGUGGUUAAUUAACCAAAUGAAUUAAGCAAGCAGUUGACGCGAUGCGUGACCAGAAAGAUUCCUUACAGCAAAUUUCCGUCCAUCACGUGGCGGCCUUAAUUUUGUCGUUUGCAAAAGCUUAAUUAGAGUUUCUAAUUAAAAAAAAAAAGAUGCUUAAUUAAUUAGCUGUGUUCAUCAUCAUCAUCAACAACUCUAUCUCUAUCUGCGCCUUUCAGCGCCCUAAACAAAUCCGCAUCCACAUGUGAAGCUCUGUUGGUCUUCCCUGGAGAAUAAGAAGCAGAUCGAUGAGUCGUCUCAGCCAGAGGAGCUCGAACCGGAAAUUUAGGGUUUUGCUUUCUCUCUGAGAGAGUGAGAGAGAGAGAGAGAGAGAGAGAGAGAGAGAGAGAGAGAGAGAGAGAGAGAGAGAGANNNNNNNNNNNNNNNNNNNNGAGAGAGAGAGAGAGAAAGCUUGCUGCAGAAACAUGCAGAACCCAAGUCUAGCUAGCCAGAUUCGAGGCAUCCAUUGAUGCCUUUCACAUGGGACUUAGGGUUUAAUCCAAUACUUUAUGUCUCUCCCGUUUCAUGGACUUGUUCUUGGAUAUGAUUUUUAUUUGCCGGAAGAUGGUGAUGGGUUUUGGUUUUGUUUAUUGGAAUGCACUUGGGGUUUAGCUUAAAAUAUGAUUAAGGUCACUACCAUCAAGGCUGUGACAGUGUUUUAACUUAUUAUUAGGUUGUUAAAUAGACUUUUUUACAUCUUAUCUCAUUGAACAUCUCCAUCAUCCACUACUUCUCCCUCAAGGUAAGAGCCUGCCUUUCUUGAAGACCACAAUUUUGAUCCAUCUCGACACUUACAUAGAUGGUAUAUUACGUAGGACUAGCUUCUUAGUUUGGCUCACUCUCUACAGCUAGCUAGGGUCUUACAGUCGAUCUAAUCGAUCUUUGAGGUUAAUGUUGGUUGAUUUGGUUCUGUAAUGCCUUGGCCUUUGAAGAUUCACAGAGACUUCAACCCGACUUAUCGAUCAUCUAGAUCAGUUGCCAAAUUAGAUUAAUGGGAAUAAUUCAUAAUCAAUUAGCCAUAUCAUUGAUCAUUUUACAUUGGAAGGCUGCUGUUUUUUGCAUCUGGAGUCCAAAUUUAUAUUAAUCUGGAUAGAAGUAGCACUGAUAUGUAUAUAUAUAGUUGAGGAAACUACAAAAGGUUUAAGAAAAAAUCACAUUCAAUUGAAAGUGAACAAGACUAGUAAACAAUCAUCGAUCAGUUGAUGGAUCAAAGUCAUUUUAUAUUCGAGGUGUCUGAUUAGGAACAAUCUGAUCGUCAUGAGUUUUCAGUUAUCUUAAUUUAAAUCCCGUGAACUUAACGUUUCUAUGUAGGACAACUAUGAAUAAUUGCAUGAAAGGCAAACUUCUAAGAUGUAUCACAUCGAUAUGAGACAUAAUGACAAUGCAUAUGAAAGCCUUGACAAGAAGACAUCAAUAUUGCCUUUUAGCAAUAAAUCAAAAUUUAAUUAAGCCUGAUUUAGACUGUAAGUGUGAUCGAUGGUCGUAGAUAUAUAAAUAGCUAGGAAGCUUCUGAUGUCAAAUAUAUGACGUGAUUUUCAUUUGAAUAAAAACCAGAAUACUGACCUUGAAGAUGAGACCUCUUAGCUAACCAAUUAAGGAGGAGAUUACUGUUGUGUUUGUUUGUUUAUUUUCAUCCUAGUCUACUUGCCGGAGCCGGAGUGCCGGACCGAGAAAAUGUUUUCAGUUAGUUUUCAUCUCUUUUUCCCAAGAUUCUCUGUGAAACCUUCCAUAGUGAAUCAAAACCUGGCCUUCUGUAUUUUCGGGCCUCUUGAUCUUCUGCGUUUGUUCAGAGUGAUGAUAUGGACUGCAACUGAGGACUACUGUAUUUGAUUUCCUGAUCCAUGUAAUCAUACAAUUCUGUCAACACUGGUUAGGGAUUAGAAGUCAUCCCCUUCUUAUAUUACCAGCUUUAUGCAAUCAUCCAUUCAUCUGUCAUUUAACUCUUUUCAUUUUUAAGUCCAGACCUAACUAACAGUUGCUAAUAUUGUAUGAGCGAAGAAACAGAUAUAUCAAUGAUGAGCAGUCACCAACAAUAUACGCGUAUAAGACGACUUUGUUAGAAUCUCUAGCUCAUUUUAUUAACAUAGCAACGUGUUUAUACUCUUAUUAGGUUUCAAUAAUGGCCUUAAACCCUGAAUUUCAAAAUCAAAGGACGAUGUUCAUACUUCAAUAUAUACUAUUCAUAUCAGGGCUCGAUCAUGCCAUUUCUUUCAUCACAUAUGUGCUCCACAUGACGUCCUAUACAUAUGACCGUUGGUUGCCCUCCUAGCUCGACUAUUAUCCUUUGUCCAUUUGAUAUAUUUAUAACCAAACUAAUCUAAUCUAAAUGGUCAACUUGAUAAAAUAGGCGAAGAAGAUGCGUUUAUGUGUUGGAUUAUGUGUGAAAACUUGUAUGUGAUAAUUUGGCAGCAGCUUGAAGCAGCUGUUAUGGUGUUAGUUAGAUUGAUGUGAUGUGAUGCGAUAGCCAUUGAGGCAUUGACGCACAAAAUAUGGUGAGUGUCUAAGCGAAGCAAACCUUAAAACGGCUACAAAAGGAUACUGAAUAGAUGACUAGAUCAUGAAGAAAAAAACGUUGUAACGAGCUAAAGUUGCAAAAGAAUCAUAGACAAUAUGACAUGAAUUACCUAUUAACAAUUCACAACUAACCCAAAUAGUUAGCAACCAGCCAAUCUGCUUGUCGUAUUAUCCUUUAUUUGGUCCCAUGAUAAGCACCUUAUUAAUCUUUAUAAAAUCCCAAACUUGUAGGUUUUUGUCACGAAUAUAAUGUAGUUUUCUAUUUUGUUGUUGAAAUAACUCAAACUUGAGAAAAAUCAACUGAGAUUACCUUGGGUUACGGUAUUAACCAAAAUUACAUUUUUUUUUUAUGAGGAAACAAGAAGAAAAUUACAACAAGAACCCACGACUCGAUUUACUACCCUGCCCAGCUGAUCUAAAUAGAACGAUGAUGACACAAAUAGGAGAAGACAAAAGAACCAGAUUUUAGGCUGCUACGAACUAUGACCUAAUUAGCAAACUUUUCUGCAAAAUAGUUUGUCUCUCUAUAUACACAUGAUGAAAUCUACACUUGAUUGGGAGGGUGUGGAAUGGUAUUUUAUUUUAUUUUUUGUAUUUUUGAUUGUUAUUCAAUUCAUUAGGGUCUGUUUCCCCUAAGGGUUUAGGGGAGUUCUAUGGUGUUUUGGACUUUGGGAGGGGUUUGAUGAGUUUGAGCGUACGUUGAAGAAAUGAGCUUGAGCUAACAGAGAAUUAAGGGGGAAGGAGGUGGGGGACCACAGAUGGGAGGAGAGACCGACAAAGAGCAUCUUUUGUUACAUGGGUUUGCGUCCCAAUGGUGCAUGCGAAAGAGCAGCAGAUCGAACAAGGAAGGAAGAAGCAGAUCACAGUAGCUAGCUGCACUUUGCACUGAGAAUUGAGUUGAAUGAGAUCGAGAGCAGCAGAAAGAUACAUAUAGUCGUUUUGAUUUGUAUGUUGGGAGCUAGCUAGCUUGGUUUGUGCCGACUGCUGCAUGCUGCUGCUGCUGAGAACGAGAGAGAGAGAGAGAGAGAGAGAGAGAGAGAGAGAGAGAGAGAGAGAGAGAGAGAGAGAGAGUAGUAGUUAGUAGUAGUAGUAGUAGUNNNNNNNNNNNNNNNNNNNNGAGAGAGAGAGAGAAAGAGUGAGCUGGUUAAUUUUGAGAAGAUCGAGUUUGGUUGUUACCGGUGUUUAGUUUGUUUUGUUUGCAGCAAACUCUCCGGCGCUCGUGCAGUGGCGCUUUCCUUGUCUGGUAGAGAGAGAUUGUCAGCGCCACCCACGCGUCUUUAGCUCUCACUCCCACGCUAGGGUUAGCUGGAAUAUCUAUUAUGCGGUCAAACCAUGCUUGCUCUCUUCCCUCCCACCAACCCUUACCUUACACACAACCUGUCUCUCUCUCCCUCUAGUUUGUCUUUGCUGGCCUUUUCUAGUGCAACUCUUUCACUUACACAUGCAUCCAUGCCUCUCCUCCUCGAUCACCAUCAUCAUCAUCAUCAUUUGUGUGCUCCCUCGAUCUCUAGCUAAGCUGCUAUAGCUUGCUAGCUCUCAAAUGCUUGUUAUGGUACUUCUGGAUCUGUUUUUCCCAAAACAGAUCUUGUAUAGAUUAUAGCUAGAUAUGUACUUCAGAAUUCAUUUGAUUGUGUUGUUUAUACACACGUAUAUCAUACUGCGUACUUCUCUAGCUAGACAAACUACAAAGAGACCAUGUUCGUGAAUCAUGUAUAUUUUAUCUCACGUAAUAGAACCCAAAUGAAAUGAUUUAAUUAUCCCCAAGACUCUCCAAUCCAUCACUCACUCUCUUAGUAGCUCAUUUGCUGCACUGAAUCAGAAUUUUCGGCAUGUUUAAUUAUGUUGAUAAUGUUUAUACGGAGUAAGAUAGCUUAACCAAAUUGUAUUUAAGUUCAUUUCAGACUACGAAGGUGUUAAAUUGGUUUAGGUGUCUUAUAACUAUAUAUGACUAAUCAUAUGAUUCAUGUCUGUCCGGGCAUGGUCAUUCUAGUUAGCUUUCUUCUGUCACUUCUCAACAAAUAAAAUGUUAUGAUGGUAGUACCUGUAAAGUGACUUUCUCAGUGUUAGGCUUUGUUUCUUUAUGACCAUGAUUGUGUUUUGCUGAACUCCUCUUCUGCACCAAUGAAAACAACUGUGAAUGCACAAAAUGAAAGAUUCGGACCCAUCAAUCUUGAUCAUCAAACUAGUUCGGCCAAUUCUCUUUUCUUAGAUGCGGGUGCGAGUUAUACAUCAUUCUUCUACAACUUCUUCGAUCCUCAUUAGUUCGAUUACUGCUAGUGCCUUUCACCUUUGCAGUCACAGAGAAGUAGUUCGAAUAUAAAGACUAACCAUCUCAAUCAAUUAUUCUUUCCUUAUAAAAGAGUAUCAUCCACAAACCUCGAAGUUAUGGAGUAAACACGCAUCCAAGUAAGAACUCUUUGGAUUUGAUUGUUUUAUAGUCUAGUAAACUUUUGUUAUAGUUAAUAUUACCCUAUGCCAAAUGGAACUAUACACCCGGGCCAAUUAAAAUCAUUAGGAUCUUACCAAAAGGUAACCACGAAAGGUACACAUCAAGUACCAAACUGAGGAUAACUUUAAAAGUGUUUCUGAAUAAUUUUCUAUGUGAUACUAAUUAGCAUUCAUAUCGAUUGAUCAUAUAUACUAAUUGAGGAUGUUAAUUUGUAUAUAUUCGUUUUAAGUUUAGAGUUUGCAUCAAGUAAGAAAACAAUUCA
rnacentral:lncRNA from 1 species